rnacentral:lncRNA from 1 species
ACCUAACUAAGCUAAUUAUGUCAAAAUGAGCUAAAUAAGCUAAUUAUGUAAUUUUGGAGGAUAAUUAGCUAAGUAUAUAAUUUUGGAGAAUAAAACUAGAAGAAGAAGAAGGAGGGGGAGAAUACUAGAAGGAGGAGAAGAAGAAGAAGGAGAAGAAGAAGGUGAAGAUGAUUACUUAUCUUGUUUUGAGCUUUUUAUGUCAUUUUUGAGGAAGAUAAACUAAGUUAUGAGCUAACCAAGGUUCUUGUGCUAUUUUUGACCUAACUAAGCUAAUUAUGUCAUAAGCGAACCAAAUAAGCUAAAUAUGUCAUUUUGGAGGAUACUUAGCUAAGUAUGUCAUUUUGGAGAACAAAACUAAAAGAAGAAGGAGGCGGAUGAGAAGAAGACUAGAAGAAGGAGGAGAAGACUAAGAGGAGAAAAAGAAGAAGAUGAUGAUUACUUAACUUUUUGAGAUUAUUAUGUCAUAUUGGAGGAAGAUACGCUAAGUUAUGAGCUAUCCAAGGUUCUUGUGCUAUUUUGACCUAACUAAGCAAAUUAUGUCAUAAAUGAACUAAUAGCUAAUUAUGUCAUUUUGGAGGACAAUUUGCUAAGUAUGUAAUUUUUGAGAAUAAAAUUAGAAAAAUAAUAAGGAGGAGGAGGAGAAGACUAGAAGUAGGAGGAGAAGAAGAAGAAGGAGGAGAAGAAGAAGGUGAAGAUGAUUACUUAUCUUGUUUUGAGAUAGUUAUGUCAUUUUGGAAGAAGAUACGCUAAUUGAUGAGCUAACCAAGGUUCUUGUGCUAUUUUUGACCUAACUAAGCUAAUUAUGUCAUUUUGGAGGAUAAUUAGCUAUGUAUGUUAUUUUGGAGAAUAAAACUAGAAGAUAAAGAAGGAGGAGGAAGAGAAGACUAGAAGAAGGAGGAGAAGAAGAAGGAGAAGGAGAAGAAGAAGGUGAAGAUGAUUACUUAUCUUGUUUUGAGUUUAUUAUGUCAUUUUGGAGGAAGAUACACUAAGUUAUUAGGUAACCAAGGUUCUUGUGCUAUUUUUGACCUAACUAAGCUAAUUAUGUCAUAAAUGACCUAAAUAAGCUAAUUAUGUCAUUUUGGAGGAUAAUUAGCUAAGUAUGUCAUUUUGGAGAAUAAAAGUAGAAGAAGCAGGAUAAUUAGCUAAAUUAUGAGAUAAGUAUGCCGCACAACAGUAGGGAAAACUUAUCGUCGUCGUCAUGAAGGAUGUGAAUCAUGGGGGUGGCUAGGGAUGGUUCACUUGGAGAAGGUUGCCCUAGAGAAGCAUUGUGCAAUUUGACUGAGGAGUUAUUCUGCACCAAAGAUAUUUCGCAAUGUCUCGUUAGAAUGAUGACACACAAAUGUUCAUACUAGUAAGUAAUGACCAUUGAAAUAAAACUCACAGUUCCAACCCUAAAAAUGUCCGGCAUCGGCGGAGGGGUUUGACCAUUCUGGAGGCACAUGGACUGCACAUUUGGUUUUGAAGGGUCAGUCAUAUCAGUUAGUAAUGAAACGGACAUUACAUGCAUGAUUUCUCUAAUGUGAAAAAGAAACUUACCACAAGGAGAUCGUACAUGGCCCGGUUAGCUUCCUCAUUCCGUGCCCUAUCCUCCUCGAAAAACCGAGUCGUGCUCUUCUUCGUGGCUCGGUCUCUCCCCUCCAACAGUCCAGUCAUGUUCUCCUUCGCGUUCAAGUCCCUAUCCCCUAGAAGCGUUUGGGUUGUCGCUCUCUCUUUCUGAAGAGCAGCCUGCAACACCACUCCUUGUUAGCAUUAUAAUCAUCGAUGGCCACACACACAAUGUCCGUAAGUAACCUCGAUGGCGAGAUCAACUGGCCUUGGACGGGGCCUUAGCUCAGGACAAGAUCUCGUCUGGCGUGCCUUGAUCUCCGGGAGAGUGAGAGGAUGAAGUAUCAGCCCAUCUCCAAUGGCUAUCGAGCCAUGGGGUCUCCCGUCACCAGAUAUCAUCACGAUCUAUGGAUCCAAAGGUUGGUGGCUCGGGUUAAAGUCCUGCCCUGUCCUCUUCUUCUCCUCAUCCUUGUAUCUCACAUGCUUGUGGUGGGAGGAGAUGUUGGUGAACUUAUUUGGAUGAUCAAGGUCAGACACAGAGAAUGCCUUGGCCUUCUUAUACAAGGCAGUAUGGGCCAUGCCAUAGGGGUCGUAAAAAUGUGGCACCUCCGUCUUACUGUGAUGCGCCUAAAAGAGAGGAACAAAGUAUUAGUAAAGGUCUCAAGCUAGCAUGAAGAAUGAAUUGCAUGAAUCAUGAAGAAAACCAGAUACCCAAUUCCAUACGAACUGAAAUAAGUUGGCGCUACCUUUAUGGUGUGGCACACCAACCAUUUGGGCACGUCGGUCCUUAGCAUUGUCGCGGACGGUUCGCCAUUGGCCAGUGCACCACUCUUCCACCAACUCCUACCAGCAAUCCAUCUGAUCCGCACACCAUCUUGGGGGCACCUAUAAGUUAGUAAGGAGAAAUUUGAGCACUACGCCUACGAAUAAAAUCAAGAAAACUACGUACAAUGGCCUUAAGAAUAGGUAAUUACCUUCAUGUAUUGCUCCUUGUUUAGAUACCUUCUGCGACACCACUUGUUUUCCUUCUUAAUACCAUGCAUGGCGUAGUAGUCUCGAACAGCCUACGGCCGAGCCUCGUGGCGUAUGUUCUGCAAUAGCCGCUUGCACUCGGCCUCGAUAACAUUGGUCGCCGCCUCCUCAUAUCCCUCUUCACAUGUGUAGAAGGUCUACACUCAAACAAGACAAUACUGAUUAGUACAAUAACUAGCUAUAUUGUUAAUUUUAGAUUGUGUAAAAGAAGAAAUUCCCGAAAAUCUAUUGAUCACCAUCUCGACCCCCGUAUGGCACAAGACACCAUCAAUAAUAUCCUCCGGCGGGGCCUGGGCAGCCUGGUAGCUCUCCGAGGUAAAUCCUAGUGUAGGAAGGUCACCCUCACCGGCAACGUGACAAACCCCAGGAAAUGUUCCCGGCAAAGCACACCAAGAAUGGUGUUCGGCUUGCGAUCUCUAGGGGAGUGAUUCCAACUCCAGCAGUAUGACAAGGUCAACACAUUAGAUAUUUGAAGAAACUUGAAGGCAAAAGGUACAAAAAGAGUAAAUGCACUUACUUCUCCCCGUGAGGCCUAAUCACUGGCUUCUGCUCACGGGUCGCCGACACGACCCGGAGACGUGUACUACCACGCUGGUAAACGGUGACCUAUUCAACCACCUCGCCCUCACUAUCAGUAGACUCAUCACUGGCCUCCCCGCAUACAUCAGAAUGGCCACCUGGCCCCUCGGUCUAAUCCAGCCAGGUAUCCCAUCCAUACAUCUCCGCAUUGGCUGAAGCCUGUGGGAUGGGAUUCUCGUGGGACAUAGGUUCUGGUACAGGAGUCUCGUGGGUCGAAGUAUCAGGAACCAUAGUCUCAGGGAUCGAAUGCCCGUCGACCCGAGGCUCUUGGACCGGAGUUCCCGUAGCCUCUACCUCAAACGGGUCCACCAUAGUAGUCAUGUGCUUGGGUGCAUCAGUAGGGGGUGGCAGCAAAGACGGUUUAGCAGUCUUUCUACCUCUCCCACGACCACGCCUAUACCCUUCGCCUUAUUCCCACCUGCCCGACCUCCUCUCCUGAUGGGCAACAACACCGACGAAGAAGCACCCGCGGGUGUCCCCAAACUACGUGCCAAGACUCUACGGAGAGACUGGAAUAGAAUAGAAGUACCCCUCGUGCGGGCUUCCGAGAAAUCUGGACCCGUGCCCACUAUCUUUCAACACAUGCCAUUAUAAAGAGUAAAAGAAAUUAGUACAAUAUAAAAAAUUGAAUGCCUGACAUGAAUAAUAAUAUGUACAUAUGUAAUUUAAGUUGGGAUGCAUACAAACUAAUAAUAGUCUGGAUUAAUAAAUGCAUCAUCAUCAGUAUCACGUGUGUCUUCAUGAAUGACGUGCUCAUCCGGUUCACGAGCAUCAACUUGUGGAAACCAUUUCAGUAAUCAGUCAGGCAUUGACACAUCAUCCGCAGCAGUAACCUCUUCUAGCUCCGCUCUGCUGGUUCCUGCUCAGGGGUGAAGUAGGAUUCACUGUUGAUGUCUACUUCCAUGUCCUGGGGUGAAGUACAACGGUUCUUCAAACGUUUCUUCGAAAGACGUGUUUCUUGGAAGAAUUCUCCAUCAUAUGUGUCUGGGUUAAUGUGAGGUUCAUAAUCCUCUUCAUCUGGGGGAGGUGGUGUAGCAUGUGGCGGCACUUCAUAAACAACAUCCCAACCAUUCAGAUUCUUAUUAGUUUGGCAGGCAAACGGUAGAUAGAAAACUUGGGUCGCCUAUUGAGUCAUAAUAUAGAUAUCGGGAACAACUAAAUGGGUGCUUUGCUUGAUUUCGACUAGCCCUAUAUGUUUGUGAGUCCUUCUAGUCUCCUUCAGCUGGAACCAAUAACAUUUGAAGACUACGACGUUCGGUGGGUUUUCACCAUAGAAUUGAACUUCAUAAAUUACUGCAACUCUUCCAUAAUGCUCGGUACCUCCUUUGCCGAUAGCACAGACAUCACAAUUUGUAGAUUUCCGGUCGGGCAUAGAUAGCUCUUUGCCAAAGGUACUAAAGUGAUACCCGUUGAUGUUGUAUUUGUUGGGGAACGUCGCAUGGGAAACAAAAAUUUUCCUACGCGCACGAAGACCUAUCAUGGUGAUGUCUACGAGAGGGGAUGAGUGAUCUACGUACCCUUGUAGAUCGUACAGCAGAAGCGUUAGAGAACGCGGUUGAUGUAGUGGAACGUCCUCACGUCCCUCGAUCCGCCCCGCGAACAAUCCCGCGAUCAGUCCCACGAUCUAGUACCGAACGGACGACACCUCCGCGUUCAGCACACGUACAGCUCGACGAUGAUCUCGGCCUUCUUGAUCCAGCAAGAGAGACAGAGAGGUAGAAGAGUUCUCCGGCAGCAUGACGGCGCUCCGGAGGUUGGUGAUGAUCUCGUCUCAGCAGGGCUCCGCCAGAGCUCCGCAGAAACGCGAUCUAGAGGAAAAACUAUGGAGGUAUGUGGUCGGGCAGCCGUGAGAAAGUCGUCUCAAAACUGCCCUAAAAGCCCCAUAUAUAUAGGAGGAGGGAGGGGGACCUUGCCUUGGGGUCCAAGGGAUCCCCAAGGGGUCGGCCGAGCCAGGGGGGAGGACUCUCCCCCCCAAACCGAGUCCUACUUGGUUUGGUGGGAGGGAGUCCUUCCCCUUUCCCACUUCUUCCUUUUUUUUUUCUUUCCUUUGAUUUUUCCUUUCUUGGCGCAUAGGGGAUUGGUGGGCUGUCCCACCAGCCCACUAAGGGCUGGUGUGACCCCCCCAAAUGCCUAUGGGCUUCCCCGGAGUGGGUUGCCCCCCUCCGUUGAACUCCCGGAACCCAUUCGUCAUUCCCGGUACAUUCCCGGUAACUCCGAAAAACCUUCCAGUAAUCAAAUGAGGUCAUCCUAUAUAUCAAUCUUCGUUUCCGGACCAUUCUGGAAACCCUCGUGACGUCCGUGAUCUCAUCCGGGACUCCGAACAACAUUCGGUAACCAACCAUAUAACUCAAAUACGCAUAAAACAACAUCGAACCUUAAGUGUGCAGACCCUGCGGGUUCGAGAACUAUGUAGACAUGACCCGAGAGACUCCUCGGUCAAUAUCCAAUAGCGGGACCUGGAUGCCCAUAUUGGAUCCUACAUAUUCUACGAAGAUCUUUAUCGUUUGAACCUCAGUGCCAAGGAUUCGUAUAAUCCCGUAUGUCAUUCCCUUUGUCCUUCGGUAUGUUACUUGCCCGAGAUUCGAUCGUCAGUAUCCGCAUACCUAUUUCAAUCUCGUUUACCGGCAAGUCUCUUUACUCGUUCCGUAAUACAAGAUCCCGUAACUUACACUAAGUUACAUUGCUUGCAAGGCUUGUGUGUGAUGUUGUAUUACCGAGUGGGCCCCGAGAUACCUCUCCGUCACACGGAGUGACAAAUCCCAGUCUUGAUCCAUACUAACUCAACUAACACCUUCGGAGAUACCUGUAGAGCAUCUUUAUAGUCACCCAGUUACGUUGCGACGUUUGAUACACACAAAGCAUUCCUUCGGUGUCAGUGAGUUAUAUGAUCUCAUGGUCAUAGGAAUAAAUACUUGACACGCAGAAAACAGUAGCAACAAAAUGACACGAUCAACAUGCUACGUCUAUUAGUUUGGGUCUAGUCCAUCACGUGAUUCUCCUAAUGACGUGAUCCAGUUAUCAAGCAACAACACCUUGUUUAUAAUCAGAAGACACUGACUAUCAUCGAUCAACUGGCUAGCCAACUAGAGGCAUGCUAGGGACGGUGUUUUGUCUAUGUAUCCACACAUGUAAAUGAGUCUUCAUUCAAUACAAUUAUAGCAUGGAUAAUAAACUAUUAUCUUGAUACAUGAAUUAUAAUAAUAACUAUACAUUUAUUAUUGCCUCUAGGGCAUAAUUCCAACAGUAUUUCUCAAAUAAACGAACCUUAUAGUAAAAACCAUUAGGGACUUGUCUCAAUUCAGCGUCCAUUUAGUCUGAACUAGCCUACACAAGUUUAGUAUGAAAUGAUUGUUGCAUUAACCACAAAUUAGACGAAGAAAUGAAAUGGUCCAUUAUUGAUAAUUACCAUUUGUUUGAACCAAGAGAUGAAACCGGGAUAGCCGCCUCCAUGCUUCAACGGAAGCUCAUACUCUUCAACGGAAUUGAUUUGGAUGACUUCUCCAUCCAAUAAUUUGGCGAUGUAUCGAGUGUAUCAAAUAUCCAGGAAUAAGAGUAGUUCAAACGAAUUAGAAGUUGCAGAAAAAUGUACCAAGAACAUACUCGAUGUACGACCGCACUUCUGUUAGUUUGUUGAAGAUAUACAACGAAAUGGUCCGCCAUUCUUCGACAUCCAAUGUUAUUGGUUUCGAAGCACCGGUUGGUGCGGGCUUCCCUUUGAAUAGGGUCAGGUUGGAUCCACCUUUUUUAGGGUCGCCAUCAUUGUACCAAGGCUUCGGAUUAUGCAAAUGACGAUUUUUUGCUUCAUAUUGUGUUGUCACAAAGUUUGCCACCUCCUCAGUAAUGAAUGCCUCAGCCAUUGAUGCUUCAAUUCUACAUUUAUUUUACAUUUUGCUCGAAGCGUCUUCUGCAUCCUCUAAGUUGCAAAGACCCAAUGAUUUUGCAUGGGCCCACCCAAUCUUGCCUCAGUGGGAAGAUGUAAAAUCAAAUGCUGCAUUGGAUUAAAGAAGCCCGGCGGAAAAAUAUUCUCUAACUUGCAGAGCACCUCCGGUGCCAACUCCUCCAUGUCAUCUACCAUGCUAGGCGACAGUUCUUUCGCACAAAGAACACAUAAGAAAUAGCUCAGCUCUGCCAGUACUAGCCAUUCAUCCUCAGGAAUAAAGUCAUGUAACAUCAUCGACAUUACCCGCUCAAUUCAUAUGUGCAAAUCAUGACUCUUGAGACCAAAUGUUUUCAAUUUUUCAAGACUCGUUCCCCUCUUUAGAUUCACGGCGUACCCAUCGGGGAGCAUCAAGUGCAUUCUGACCCACAAGAUAAUUUCCCUCAUAGCUCGCCUUCCAAGAUUAAACCAGGCCUUUGGCUUCGACCAGUUUUGAUUUCCUUUCGUUUUUCGUAUGUUUUCUAACGGUUUAUGACAUAGUGUCUCUUGAUCGAUUCUAGCCUUAAUAUUAUACUUUGACUUCCCAUCUAUGCCGAACAAUGUACCCAAAAUGGCCUCUUUGCAAUUCUUUUUAGUGUGCAUCAUGUCGAUGUUUUGUGGAAGGAUGUCUUUGAAGAAAGGCAUAUCCCACAAGCAUGGCUUGUGAGUCCAGGUGUGUUCUGAAUUAUACCCCUUGAAAUACCCUGGACGCUCUGGAUCAGUCUCGAGGGCGUUUAACUAAUCCAUGAUCUUUUGUCCUGUCAACGAAGGUGGUGCCAAGUUUUUGACAACUUUACCUUUGGUAAAGUUCUUCCUGUCUUUUCUGACCUGAUGAUGAGGAUCCAGGAACUGUCUAUGCUAGUCAAAGCAAGAAUACUUCCCACCCUCCUGCAACCAAUGAAACUAAAGAGCUGCCUUGCACGUGAGGCACGGGAACCUUCCAUGCGCAUACCAUCUAGGGAAUAGCGCAUACGCCGGCAAGUCAUGCAUCAAGUACAUGUACCAGACAUGCAUUUUGAAGUUUUCUUUUCUAGCGGCAUCGUAUGUCUUGACCCCAUUAUCCCAAGCAUCUUGGAAUUCAUCCUUAAGCGUCUGCAUGUACAUAUUUGUAUUCUUCCCCGGAUAGUUUGGCCCUGGAAUUAUCAACGUUAGGAAUAUGUUCUUUCUUUGCAUAAUUUGUCCGGGGGGAGAUUGAGUGGAAUGAAAAAUACAAACCAACGGCUGUAUUGGGUUGCUGUCAUACAAAAGGGAUUGAACCCAUCCUUGCCGACGCAAACUCGAGGAUGCCUUGGAUCUGCAGCUUUAUGCAGAUGUAAUGCAUUGAAAUCCUUCCACAAUUCCCCAUCCGCUGUGUGUACCACCAUCUUAUUCCCAUAUGCAUCUAGUUCGGUUCUUUUUCCCAAUUUGUGCCAUGUCAUCUAACCGGUCGUCUCUUCUAACAUCAAAAGACGCUGACGCCUUGGUAUUAUUGGCAUAUACUGAACAACAUUAACUGAGAUUUCGGUCUGGCUCUUCUCACCCAUAGUGUUGUCUACCACAACAUACCUCGAAGACUUGCAAAUGGGACAAUAGUCCAUGUCCGCAUACUCCUUCCUAAAUAAGGCACAUCCUUUCUCAAAGGCAUGUAUAUUCUCAUAGGGCAUCUUAAGUACACGAAGUAUUUUGUACGACUGGUACAAGUUUGCACGCAUGACAUGGCCUUUGGGUAUAAAGUGUCCAAAUAGUGUCAUCAUCGCAACAUAGCAUUCCCUUCCCAAGUUGAACUGAGCCUUCAGAGCCAGUACUUGUGCAAUGGCAUCCAGCUGAGAAAAUUCAGUGUGCUCGUGGAGAGGACAUUUUAAAGACUCCAACAUUUCAUAGAAGGCCUUUGCAGAUUCCUCUAUCUCAUCGUCUGAAUCCCGAGCAUCAUCAAAGUCUUGCACCAUACUUUUGAUCCCGGUACCAUGCUCGUCGGUGCGACGACGAACCACCUCAUCUCUAGUGCGUUGUCUAGACUCACCAUGAAAUGUCCACACCGUAUAAUUAGGCUAGAAACCCCUCCUCUGCAGGUGUUUAAUCAUUUCAGCCUUUGUCCUCUUUUUAUAGUUGUCACACCCAGGACAAGAGCACCAGUUUGUUUCAAGGCCAUUUGCAAAUGUGGCUUUCGCAAACUCCCUUUUUUAUAAACCUUUCUUUGGUCAUCUCUUUGUGACUAGUGUGACUAGUGUACAUCUACGCACAAUCACUCAUCUUGCCUAGUUACUAAAGACAAAAUAUAUAUACAUCGUAUAAUUAUGUCCAUGCAACCUACACGCUAAUAGGUAAAGAUAGGUCCUAAUCCCACCCGAGUAUGUGUAGAGUGAGUACGUUGUCCAUGCUCUACCCCAUUCCGAGACAAAAUUUCGGCAACACCGCCCCGCUGUUCUCCAAAUACACAUCUCGGCAAAAAGACGAGAGAAUGUGCAUCUGGAGAACAACGGGGAGGCACUGCCGAAAUUUUGUCUUGAAACGGGGUAGAUCAUGGAGAACGUACUCACUCUACACAUACUCGGGCUGUCCGUGGAAAUCGCUGGACAAUCCAAAUGAGUUACAGUGAGAAAUAUGAAAUUGAAUGCAUAUUUAUCGGUGCAACCCUUUGAGAUGGGUGACGCCCAGGUUACGCAAGUUAGCAUGAAAAUAAAAUCUACUGGCAUGAUUAAAAGAGCGUAGGAGGUGAAGGUGGACUCGUAGCUCACCCUCGACUACAGAGGAAGUAGUCGAACAAUGGUGGGAUGACAGAACAAAAUCUUUGACGACGAUGACUCCAAGGAGAUGAAAUAGCACAAAGCCUAUAAAUUUUACAUACUGAAAAUUUUUAAGACAUCACAUCACAUAAAGCAUUAAUAGUUCAAACUAUGAAAAAUAUAAUAUUGCAAAUGACAUCACAUCACAUAAAGCAUUGGCAGUUCCUCUUCUUCUUCUUCNNNNNCUUCUUCUUCUUCUUCUUUCUUUAUCCUCUUCAUCUUCUUCUCCUCCUCGUCUUCUACUUCUUCUUGUUCUUCUUUCCUUCUCCUCUUCUUCUUCUUCUCUUCUUCUUCUUCUUCUUCUUCUUCUUCCUUCUUCUUCUUCUUCUUCUUCUUCUUCCUUCUUUUCCUUUUUCCUCUUCUUUCUUCUCCUCUUCUCCUCCUCCUCCUCUUCUUCUUCUCAUCCUCCCCCUCCUUCUCUUCUUAUUCUUCUUCUUCUUCCUUCUUCUACUUAUUCUUAUUUUCUUCUUCAUCCUUUUCUACUUCUUUUAAUUAUUACUAAACAUAUAUAGCACUAAACUAAAACCUAUCACUAAACUAAAACCUAUCACUACACUAAAACCUAUCACUAACAUAGCACUAAACUAAACCUAUCACUAAUCAAACAGAGCACUAAACUAAACUAACAUUGAAUUAAACAACAAAAAGGAUAAAAACAUUACCUUGGUGCGGUCGGCGCCGGAGACAGUGUGCGGAGGUCGGGGCAGUGGGGGCUGGGACAGUGGGGGGCCAGGCCAGUGGGGGGCACCGGGCAGGGUGGGAUUGCCGGGCGGGGAAGGGGCGCCGAGUUCGGGGAGGGGUGGCUGGCAUAUGAAGGAGCGGGGGUGGAUAGGGCAGGGCCGACGCAGGGAGAGCUCAGGGAUGGGGUGGCCAGAGCCAGGAGGAGCGGGGGUGGCCGGCGCGGGGAGGGGUGGCCGAUGCAGCGAGAGCUGGGGGAGGUGCGCGGGUGGCUGGGGCGGGGAGGAGAGGUGGUGGCCGGUACAGGGUGUGGUGGCCGUCGCGAGGCCGGCGCAGGGAGAGAGUGGCCCUAACGGCUGUUAGCUUGGUCGCCCCUUUGCCAUCUGCUGGUGCAUGGCAAAGUGGGGGUGGGGUCUUGAACCUUUGCUGUUUGCCUUGCCCUUCUUUGCCAUGUGUUGGCUGAUGGCAAAAAGGCCCUUCGCCAUCAGCUAUAUCUUUGAUUUGUAUUGUUUGGAAGUGGACAACAAAGAGGCUCUUUGCCAUCAGCUAGUAAACAUCCAAGAACUAGCUAAAAGCAAAUUCCCUGAUGGUUUGCAGCAACAUCUGUGUCGAAAUUCAAGGACUCGAAUUACAUGCCUCUCCCAUUGUACUGAAGUCAUGCACUAUUGAUCUCAUUACAUGGUUGGACUGGUUCAAAGUAUAUAUUGAUUCUAUAGUUUGCGCUACUAAGACUGUUCAUCUCCUACACUCUUUGGAUGAGAUAGUAACCUACCAGGAUGCUCUUGUACAAAAUGUUGAACCACAUCUUUAUACCUUGAAUGCGUUGAACGCAACACCCCUUCAAGGAAUCGAGAACAUUCCGGUCAUUUGAGAUUUCCAAGAUAUCUUUCAUGAAGAACUUCGAGGGAUACUCUGUGUAAGAGGUGUCGAGUUCGUCAUCGACUUGAAGCCACGCACCACUCCUAUCGCCAAACGACCCUACAAAAUGCCACCACAUGAACUCCUUGAACUUAAGGAAGAAAUUGACAAAUCUCUUCAUUGUGGUUUCAUUCGUCUUAGUUCCUUUGCUUGGGGAGCACCUUCGUUCUUUGUUAAGAAGAAGGAUGGAACAAAUCGUUUGGUUCAAGCUUACCGUCCUAUCCACCAGGCAACUAUUUAGAACAAGUAUCCUCUUCCUCAGAUAAAUGAUUUGUAUAAUCAACUUGCUGGUUCCUCAGUAUAGUCUAAACUCGGCUUGAGGUUCGGAUACCAGGAGAUCCGUGUUCGUGAAGAGGAUAACCCGAAAAGCGCCUUCGUUACUCCAUAUGGUUCAUCCGAGUAUAUCGUCAUGUCCUUCUUCUUGACCAAUGCUCCAACGAUAUUCUCUUGUCUGAUGAACAAUAACUCGACAAGUUCGUCGUGGUUUAUCUGGAAUAUAUCCUAUUAUACUCCAAGAAUGUAGAGGAACAUGUUGAACAUCUUCGACUUGUUCUGGCUAAGCUUCGAGAGCAUCAACUAUACGCCAAAUAUUCGAAGUGUGAAUUCUGGCUACCCGAUGUAACCUACCUUGGUCAUGUCAUAUCCAAGGUUGGUAUCAUUGUCAGUCUUGAGAGAGUUCAGGCUAUUGUCAAUUAGAAUCACCCAAAAAAUUACAAGGAAAUCAGAAAUUUUCUCAGACUCGCCAGCUACUUCUAUCGAUUCGUCAAGAACUUCUCCAAGAUUGCCAAACCCCGGACUAGUCUUCUUCACAAAUGCGUCAAGUUCCAAUGGAAAAAUAAGUGUCAGGAAAUUUUCCAGACACUCAAGCACAAGCUAACUUCUUCCCCAUAGCUUGCUCCUCGAAAUACUAAGAAGGAUUUCAUCAUAUACUGCAACGCUUCACGUCAAGGAUUAGGUUGUGUCCUAAUGCAAGAGCGUGGAGAGGUUACUUAUGCCUCUCGUAAGUUCCACUGCCAGGAAGAGAACUACCCAGUUCAUGACCAGGAACUUACUGCAGUAAUACAUGCACUAUAAGAUUGGAGACAUUACCUUCUUGGUAACCGUUGCAAGAUGUUCACCGAUCACCAAAGUCUGAAGUACUUGUUUAUCAGCCGGAUCUGAACCUCCGUUAACAAAUAUGGAUGGAGUGCUUAGAAGAGUUGGACUUCAGUAUUUCUUAUACACCUGGGAAAGCUAAUGUAAUGGUUGAUACCUUGGGGCGCAAGUCAUACUCCAACCACCUCGAGGUUCAUAAGGUUUAGAACCUUCUUUAGGAAGAAUUUAGCAAGCUAAACCUCCAUUUUGUUCCUCACGAUUUUCUCGCUCCCCCUCCAAAAGAGUUCCGCAAGAUGAACCUUUGUGGUGUUAACGAGGGUUCACUUAAUAACCUAGUUGCUAAAUCUGAUCUCGUGGGCGACAUAAGAAAAUAUUCAACACUAUGACGAUGAUGUCAAAGGAAUAAACGCUAUCUUGUAGAGGGAAAAUGCUCUUUCUUCACUGUUGCUGAUGAUGUUGUCGUGUUGUCACACCCCAAAAAUUUAACCAGAUUUUUAUAAAUUAAAAUAUUACCUAGAAUAAAUUAUUUGAAAAAAAAUUAGUUUCGUUUCUCAUUUCAAAGCCUCUUUCCAAAAACUUUUCAUUCUUUUAAAAGCCUCAGUUGCACUUCAAUCCUUUUAAAAAUUCCACAAAAAAUUGGAGAUGUCAAGGGAUGCAUGAGACUCACUUCUAUGCAAAAAAACCCAUGGAUGUACUUAAAAAAAUUUGAGCAGCACAACCUCUUUUGCAUUUUGGUCCAGUUUGUUGUUUUGAACUACAACCAUAUUUUAAAUUGCCCCAAUGCCCAUGAGAUUUUUCUAGCUUGUAGUAGAGCCUAGCAAACCCUUAAGUCCAAGAGAUGAGAGCCGUUGGGAUAUUUUUAGCCCAUGCAUUAGUGCCCCAAAGUUUCUGUCCAGAAAAGCUUUUCUCCAAAAAUUGUACUAACAUUUUUCUCCUUUUCUUAAACUAAGCUUGCAAUCAUGACCAGCACCUAAAGGGACCCUGAUCUGCAGCUUUUGGCGACUAACAAGAUCCAUUUGAUAGCACUAGCAUUCUGUCGAGCACCUUGUGUGUCUGGCCAAAGUUGGCAUGGUUUUGACUCUACAUAGUGAAGUUGCCCCCUAGCCCAACCUUCAUGUCUAGGAGCAAUGCCCUGAUGCAUAGACUGACCCUGUUAUUUUCCAUGCCCAUCAAAUCUCUUUUGGCCAACCAGGCAAUUCGACGAACAUGUGUCAUGCGUGCUCUAGGCAUGGCGAGAGUGCAUGUUUUAUACGCGCGUGCCCAAACUGCCGCGUCCACCUACCUAUGCCCCUUGGCUAUCUCCCAGAGUCGUGUUGCACCGCAUGCGUCUCCGACCACUGGUCGCCGGCCCUGUGUCGCUUAGUGCUUUGGUCCUGACAACUCUGGAGGCUUGCCGAUGACAGCAACUUGCUCCUCGAGAUAUUAAGAAGGAUUUCGUGAUAUACUGCAACGCUUCACGUGAAGGAUUAGGUUUUGUCCUAGUGCAAGAGCGUGGAGUGGUUACUUAUGCCUCUCGUCAGUUGCGCCUCCACAAAAAGAACUACCCAGGUCAUGAGCUUCAACUUACUGCAGUAAUACAUGCACUAAAAGAGUGGAGACAUUACAUUCUUCGUAACCGUUGCGAGAUCUUCACCGAUCACCAAAUUCUGAAGUACCUAUUUAAUCAGCCGGAUCUAAACCUCCAUCAACAAAUAUGGAUGGAGUGCAUAGAAGAUUUGGACUUCGGUAUUUCUUAUACACUUGGCAAAGCUAACGUAAUGGUUGAUGCCUUGAGGCGCAAGUCAUACUCCAACCACCUCCUGGUUCAUAAGGUUUAGAACCUUCUUUAGAAAGAAUUCAGCAAGCUAAACCUCCAUAUUUUUCAUCAGGAUUUCCUCGCUCCCCCUCCUAAAGAGUUCCGCAAAAUGAACCUCUGUGGUGUUAACGAGGGUUCACGUAAUAACCUGGUUGCUAAAUCUGAUCUCGUGGGCGACAUAAAAAAUAUUCAGCGCUAUGACAAUGAUGUCGAAAGGAAUAAAUGCUAUCUUGUAAAGGGAAAACGCUCUUUCUUCACUAUUGCUGAUGAUGGUGCCGUGUUGUCACACCCUAAAAAUUUAACCACAUUUUUAUAAAUUAAAAUAUUACCUAGAAUAAAUUAUUUGAAAAUAAAUUAGUUUCACUUCUCAUUUCAAAGCCUCUUUCCAAAAACUUUUCUUUUCUAGUUGUGUGCUUGAGUCAUUCCUUGAGAUCAUUUUAUUUCUUUUUUUUAAUUUAAUGAGGAUUUUUGUUUUAAUAAAACUUGUCAAAUUAAAUUCUUUUAAAAGACUUUUCCAUUCUUUUAAGAGCCUCACUUGUACAACAAUCCUUUUAAAAAUUCCACAAAAAAUUGGAGAUGUCAAGGGAUGCAUGAGACUCACUUCUAUGUAAAAAAACCAUGGGUGUCCUUUGAAAAAAUUGAGCAGCACAACCUCUUUUGCAUUCUGGUAUAGUUUGUUGUUUUGAACUAGAAACAUAUUUUGAAUUGCCCCAAUGCCCAUGAGAUUUCUACAGCUUGUAGUAGAGCCUAAGAAACCAUUAAGUCCAAGAUAUGAGAGCCAUUGGGAUACCCCAAAGUUUUCGUACAGGAAAGUUUUUCUCCAAAAAUUGUACUAACACAAAGUCCAAGAUAUGAGAGCCAUUGGGAUGCCCCAAUGCCCAAAGUAUAUGAGGGAAAUAUGCAAAGGAUUUCCCCCGUGGUCUUGGAGCCUUGCGUUGGUGUUCCCUUGAAGCGGAAAGGGUGAUGCAGCGCAGCGGUGGUAAGUAUUUCCCUCAGUUUGAGAACCAAGGUAUCGAUCCAGUGAAGGAGUAUCUCAAGUGCGUGCACAAACACAAAGAGCUUGCUCUCAAUGCUAUGAAGGGGUUGUCAAUCCCUUAUAGAUUGUUCGCCAAGUGAGAACUGAAAGCAACAAAGUAACAAAGCAAAGUAAAGGCGAAAGUGGAAACGAUAGGUGUGAAUAGACCCAGGGGCCGUAGUGUUUACUAGUGGCUUCUCUCAUGAAAGCAAGUAGACGGUGGGUGAACAAAUUACCGUCGAGCAAUUGAUAGAACCGUGCAAAGUCGUGACGUCAUCUAUAACAAUGAUUAUAUCUAUAGGCAUCACGUCCAAAACAAGUAGACCAAUACUUUCUGCAUCUACUACUAUUACUCCACACGUCGACCGCUAUCCAGCAUGCAUCUAGUGUAUUAAGUCCAAAAGAAAAGAGUAACGCCUUAAGCAAGAUGACAUGAUGUAGAUGGACAAUCUCAUAUCUACGACAAAGCUCACCUAGUUACACUUGAUGGAAACUACACGAUGUGUGCCUUGCUGCACCUACUGUCACUGGGAAAGGUCACCACACGAUAAGAACCCAAAACCAAGCACUUCUCCCAUUUCAAGAAUCAUAGAUCUAGUUGGCCAAACAAAACCCAAGACUCAGAGAGACUUACAAGGAUAUCAAAUCAUGCAAAUAAGAAAUAAGCAAAGACUCAAAUAUAUAUCAUAGAUAAUCUGAUCACAAAUCCACAAUUCAUCGGAUCUCGACAAACACACCGCCAAAGAGGAUUACAUCGGAUAGAUCUCCAUGAAGAUCAUGGAGAACUUUGUAUUGAAGAUCCAAGAGAGAGAAGAAGCCAUCUAGCUACUAACUACGGACCCGUAGGUCUGAAGUGAACUACUCACGAGUCAUUGGAGGGGUGAUGAUGUUGAUGUAGAAGCCCUCCAACUCCAAAGUCCCCUCCGGCAGGGCACCUGGAAGGGUCUCCAGAAGAGAUCUCGCGGAAACGGAAGCUUGCGGCGGAAGAAAAGUGUUUUCGUGGAUUCCCUAAUUUUUUUGUAUUUUAGGGAAUAUAUAGGCGAAGGAGCUAGGUCAGGGGGCUCCAGGGAAGCCACAAGCCUGCUAGCCGCCGCCCCCUGGUGGCGGCUAGGGGGCUUGUGGCCCCCCUGUAGCUCUCCUGGCCUGGCCCUCAAGCCCCCUGAUCUUCUUCCAUUCGGGAAAAAUUUAUUUCGGGGAUUUUAUUGUGUUUGGACUCCGUUCCAAAAUCACAUCUGAAAAGAGCCAAAAACACAGAAAAAAACAGGAGCUGGCACUUGGCACUGAAUUAAUAAGUUAGUGCCAAAAAAGAUAUAAAAGGUACAUAAAACAUCCAAAGAUGACAAGAUAAUAGCAUGAAACCAUAAAAAAUUAUAGAUACAUUUGAGACGUAUCACUUGCCGACGGUAGCAUCCUGCUCCUGCAGUGGCCCGCGUCGCCCAAGCUACCCGAGCACGCGAGCUCAUCCUGUGGAGCAGUCUUAUGCAUCAACGGCUCGCUUCCAACCUCGCCAGCCUGCACCUAUCCCUCCUGUCCGCCGUUAGUAAUGAUCAUCGACGUCCUUCUCGUCAGUCACCGCGGAACCCCUAUCUCGAUCACCUCUGUCUCGACCGUAGCAAGCCCCACGUAGGAGCAACUCGAGCGAAGAUGGUCAUCUUGCUCACCUCAGCCAGUCUGGCCGCUGCCGCCCUCUGGUUGAAUUCCACCUAGCCAGAGCCUCCCCCUCUCUGUGCCCUCCACCUCUAGCCCCACCAUGACCCGGAGGACCCAUCCCCACUGCCAAUUUCGCCUGGGAGCCACAGUUUGCGAAGCCCCUCUUUCCACCCGACGCCGUCGUCUGCCAUUGCUGAGGCCCUGCUCAAUGCUGAGCUCACCAGCGACCCCAUCUGACCCCGUGUAGUGCGGUUCCUCCCCCUGAGCAUGCUAAUAGGCUGAGCAUCGAGGAGGAUGCCCCCUAGCGCUGACAAUCCUCGCCGGACUAGCCUCUGUCCCCGACUAGGCGCAUGCAUGAGGAGGAGGACAAACCCGACAGGUGGUCCCUACCUGUCGGUGAGGCAACUGAGUGCCCCUAGUGGCGCAGCCCCACGGGUACGCGUCCCUUUGGGGAAAAGUCAACCCCUCUAAGUCUGUUUUCGUUUCCAUAAAUCGUACUCAAAGCGUUUCAGUUAAUACAUUUUCUGUUCUCGAAAGCAUAUUUCUUACCGAAACAUUAUGUUUUUUAAUUCUUUUAAAAACAGAGUUUGACCAAAACUUUGACUAGUUAUAACUUUUAAAAUACAACUCCAAAUGAGUUUAUUCUUUUUCUGUUGUUUUCCAAAUUCCACCUAAUUUAUUUUCAUAUUUAUUUCAACAAAAUUCAAACACCUUUUAUGUGGUGUAUUCGAAUUGUGCGUUGAAUUGAAUUAUUUUUAAAAUAGGAAAUUGGAGGGAAGAAAUCUCCUUCAAUAUUUUGGGGUGGGACGACCCUUCUUCCUACCCAAGGCAAGCAUCUUGAACCCAGAUUUGUCUUAAAUUGUGUGAUUUCUUGGUUUCAUGUUAGGAUGCAUUGCUAUGUUACUCGAAUACAACCCCACUCCAUAGUAGCAUACCUUGCAUGGAUUGCAUGUGAUAUGUGUGUGAUUGCUUCUAAGCAUAUGAUACUGGUAAUGUGUGGGUAAAACCUCAUGCCAUGUAUGCCAUGCUAGUCUAGACAACCUCAGAGAGAGGUUUGUCAUGAUAGAUGUGUGACCAUGGAAGUGAUAUCUCAUUGGACGAGAGGGGUCAAUGAGGGCAUAUCGAGGCGUGAGGUUUGUAACAUUAUGAUAGAUCAUUCAGAAAUUGUGUGGUACUUACCCUUGUAGGAAACAUAAACCUCCUGAGUCGAUCAUAGAUCGAGUCUUGUUAGUGUGUCACCUACCUUUCGUGCUGCCACAUGUCUUCCCGAAAGGGAAUACGGUUUAGUAGGUCGUAACCCUAUUAUCAGGUAGACACAAGGUAGAGGGGCAGGGAUGAAGGUUUCCAUGGACCUGGAAUAAACCAAUCAUCUGGUCAGGGGGCAUGGUUGUUUCCGAUCUGGGACCGAGAGGGGAGGGCCCUACCCUUAUAGCGUGUGGUAUAAAUGUGAUCCCAUGCUAUUCGAGGAUGUUGGCAUCCCCGUCUUAUGGUUUUUCCCUAGAGGCAUAGUUUUAGUGAUUCCAGACCUAUGUGGGGUAAAAAUAGGUGUGUGCUGGUUUUGAGUGGUUACUUAUGAAACACCAUACAUGGGAUUAGUCCGAGGGACUGCUGAAACCUGUGGGAUGUGGCUAAAGAGUACACCCUCUGCAGAGUCAAAACUACACAAGUAGCCGUGUCCAUGCUCAAGGACGAUAGGUUGACAGGUCAAGUGUCAGUUUGAGUGUCGGUGUUCCGAGGAAUAAAUUGAAACAUGAUGAUGAUCAUGAACGGGAUGACAACCUUAAUUAUCAAAAAAAUUGAUGUGGUCUGAUGAUUGCUGAUAUAUGAAUUUUUAGUAUCCUUGGGAUGGUUCUACCUCCCGGAUACUCGAUGUUAUUUUUUCCAUAUAAGCCCUCCCUGUGGUGUCACGUGGAUGCCCGACUGUGGCAACCGUUAUUAUUUUCAUAUAUGCCCUUUAUGUGGUGUCGCUUAGACGCCCGAUUGUGGCAACUGCUAUUACUUCCAUAUAAGCUUUCUUAUACAUCAUGAGUAGAAAUAAUUUUAACCGCAUAACUGUACCCAUGAAUUUAAUCAUGUGGCAUAACAUGUAGUAUUAAAAUGUGUGUGCAUGCAUCUCACCUCCUUUUGCUUAUCUGUUUUAUUAAUGUUCGCGAAUACAUUCAAAGUACUCAAUGGCUUGUCCCUCGCUAUUGUCUUUGCACAUCACAUAACUGGAGUGGAGCAAGAUGAUAGCAACCCCGGAACCUGAGAGUCGAGGAUAAUAGCCUUGUGAGAUAGGAAUUAUCCAGGUCACCUAUUCAUGUGGAGAUGGAGCCUAUGAACAUUGGAGAUUCCCCGAAUCGCUUCUGCCUUUAGCCUUUGGACAUUUUUGUCCAACCUCCCCUCAUAAACCUUCAUGGUUUUGUACCCCUAAUUUCCUAUUUGCAUGGAAUAUGUGUAUCAAGUGAGUGUUCACCAGCUAACAGUAGUCAUGGGGUUGACAAACACAAGGGCCUGUUUUCUGAAAUUGUUUUUUCAAAAAAAAACCGGUCCCUACAGAUGUACAUCAAGGGUCGCCUAUUCGUUCCAAGUACGAGAGAAAACCUGAAUAUGACAGGGAGGGUGAUGAAAUAAGCUCAUGAUACACCUCUGCAUAUUCAUCCAGGUAGUACCAAGAUGUACCAAGACAUCCGUCAAAGGUUCUAGUGGUCAAACAUGAUGCAAGACAUUGCACGUUAUGUUGCAGAAUGUGACAUUUGCCAUCGAAUCGAAGAAGAACAUCAAAGGCUUGUUGGAACUGUGCAACCUAUUACUAUUCCUGAAUGGAAAUGGAACCAUGUCCAAAUGGACUUUGUCACAUGUUUUCCCAGAUCAAAGAAAGGUAAUGAUGCUAUUCUUGUCGUCAUUGACCGACUAUCCAAAGUCGCACAUUUACUAGUCGUCAAGUAAACCAUCACUAGUAGUCAGUUGGCAGGACUAUAUAUGUCCAGAAUUGUUUCACUCCAUGGUACUCCAUUGAUAAUUAGCUCAGACUAUGGAAACUUAUUCACUUCAAUAUUAUGGGCAAGUUUCCAAAAGUCUACGGGGACUCAUCUAUCCUUUAGCACCGCUUUCCAUCCUCGGUACCAGGGACAAGUUGAAAGAGUUAACCAGAUUCUCGAACACAUGCUUCGAGUUUGUGUCAUUUAUUUCGGCAAGAAAUGGGAGGAAUCUCUCUCUCGUAUGCCGAGUUCUCCAAAAAUAAUAUCUAUCAAGCUAAUCUGAAGAUGGCCCAAUUUGAAGUGUUGUAUCGACGAAAGUGUCGAACUCCUGUGAAUUGGUCAGAAACUUUGGAACAUUUACUCUUUGGUCUGGAUAUUAUCCAACAUGCUGAAGAUCAAGUCCACGUUAUUUGUGAGAAUUUCAAGGCUGCUCAGUCUCAUAAGAAGAGUCAGUAUGAUCGUCAUCACAAAGGUAUGGUCUAUCAAUCUGGCAAAAAGACUUAUCUUCGAGUCACGCCAAUGAGGGGUGCACACCGCUUUGGGAUCAAGGGCAAGCUAGCUCCUCGCUAUAUUGGUCCAUUCACUAUUCUUGAAAGGUGUGGAAAGGUGGCAUAUCAAUUGGAACUACCAUCGAACCUUUCUUAGGUGCACGAUGUCUUGAAUCCGAGCGGUGGAUCAUGAUAUGCUUGAGCUCCAAUAUGACCUUUCUUAUAAAGAGCACCAAGUCCGCAUUCUUGAUCAAACUGAACGUCGAAAUUCUCAGAAGGCAAUCAAGUUCCUUAAGGUUUAGUUGUUAGACCAUUCUGAAGAUGAAGCCACUUGGGAACACGAGGAUUAUCUUCGUGAUGAAUACCCCAACCUCUUUCCUUCUACCUCCAAAUGUAAUGAGCUAAAGUAAUCAUCAGUAAGGGUCUAAUGAUUUUACUAAAUUAGUCUUGAUCAUCUGGAUUCAAACCUUGUUUUAACUUUCAUUUGAAUUCAAAUAUUAGGAGUGAAACAAAAAUUCACCAACAUGAAAACAAAAGUAUUCCAACUGUUGCUCAUAAUCCAUAACUAAUUAUGGUGGUGAACCAACAUUUUUAUAAAGUGUUUUAAUGCCUAAGACAACAAAAACAGAGGCCAAGUUAAUAAUUUAAAAGCCGUUCAAAUUAUUAAAGUUUCAAACCACUUAUUGAAAAUCUCAACCUUUUUGUGGCUCUGUCUAAUAUUACAAUAAUAAUAUUGGGAAAGCUACAAUAAUUUUCUAAAUCUAAAUGGAGUUGGAAUUGAAUCAGAUAGUGGUUUUAAACAAAACAAAAAAGAAACAAAAAAUAGAAAAAGGGCAAAUGACAAAAAAAAUCUUGUUCCCCAAGGCCCAUUUGCACCCCCAACCGGCCCAACCCACACACCCCUCUGGCCAAACCUCCCACUACACGGACAGAGGGGGUGGAUACGCCCCAUCACAUCAGUCGGCGACGCGUCGGCCGACAUAAGGGCACUGGCGAUCCUCCUCAACCAACCCUACGCCACUCGCCCCCACCCCUCGCACCCUUGCCCGUGCGCUGCUCCUCGGGCACGAGCUCGCCCGACCAUGCCGUGACCCCGACGCCACGGACGUCGCCCCCGUCAGCACCGCCCCGCCUCCUGCGCGUCCCCAUCCUACUCCCUACUGGCCCCAUCGAGCCUUGCCACCCUCGCCGCCCUGCAACGCUGGUGAGUCCAUGGCCUCUCUCCCCCCUCUAUCCCCGUUCCACGUCACUGCUCCCCGGUCGGCUUGUCCACCCGUGCGCCCGCGGCCCUGCUCCACUUCGUUGCGCUACUAGCUCCCAUUGCUAUCGUUUGAUGUGGCUACACACGUCCUACCGCACGCUUCUCACUUCGUCGCACCGCGCGCAAACGCCGCACUUUGCCGCUCCUAGCAGCUGGCUGUAGAUGCUGCUGGCUAUGUUGCUAGCCACUGCUGCCCGCCCAGUCGGUCGCCUGCAUAGCUGCGCCGCCCAUGCAGCCCGCGACUCCUGACUCCACCUGGACUGCUCCCGCACCCCGCCGCGUGCCUAUGGGACCGAGCUACCCGUCACUGCGCCACUACCGUCGACGCCCCCCGCUCCCGCGCUGCUCUACUAAUGUUGUGGUCGUGCCCGCCGCCGUCGACCUACUGCCACCCCGCCGCGCUUGGUCUUAGGAUCUCGACCCCCCCACCCCCCCCCACACACACACGACACGGUUCAAUGCCCUAGCAAUGGCUGCAUUGGCCUUGUGCCCAUGCGUGCCCGUGGCCACCCACUGGUUGGCUGGGCCACUACCAAUGGGGCACACGCCGUCUUAAAAUGAAAAAGAAAAGAAAACAAUAAAUAAUAAUAAUAAUAAUAAUAACUAAUUAAUUAAUUAAUUAGUGAUUUAAUUAACCUAAUUAAGUCAACUUAAUUAACCUAUGUGAUUAGCUUAAAUAACCCUCUUAGAUAGGUUAACACAAAAUGAUAGGGGGGCCCACCCCCUAUUGACGAGUGAAACUUUGACUUGUCAACUCAGUCCCCUAGCCCACCUGUCAUCCUGUGUGUACGCUGUUAUGUACACACAGCUCGGUGCCCCUAUCAUAUUGCUAUUUAAAAUUUAAAUUAAAUUAAUUCCACAAAAUGAAUAAAAUUUUGAAAAUUAAUAUAAAAUAAUCUAUAACUUGGAUGAAAAUAUUUUAUACCUAGAAGUUGCUCGGAAUAAUCCCACGAAUACGAAGACAUUAUCCGAUCAUGUGUCACAUGCCCUUAGCAUGACAAACAUUGACAUUUGGUGUUGGAUCACCUAUCCACAAAAUGUCAGACACCGGGAAAACUUUCCUAGAUGGAUUCCUCCUCCGCAUGGAACAUGUAGUACCUCGUUAGGUCAACCCUCGCACAACUUCUUACCAUUCACGUCUCCCAAUGCAUUGUUUGCUAUAUAUAUUUAUUGUUUCUUCCCCUUCUCUAUGCUAGACCUCCAGACUGUCGCCACUACCGCCCAGUACAACUAUAGUGAUAACGACCCCUCCUUCUCGAACGAGCUUCCAGGCAAGCAUUCUCCCUCCUUGAUGAUUCCGACAUCGCCUGCUCUUUUCUCUCUUCUACUUGCAUUAGAGUAGUGUAGCUCUUACUGAUUAUUGGUUUGAUCCUAUAAUGUUGCAUAGCAUGUCCUUGCUUCUGUUGUUGAUACUCUACCUAUUAUCCUAAAUGCCUAGUAUAGGUUUGCUGGUUUUCCAUCAAUGGCCCUACAUUCUUGUUCGUCUACUAAGCUACAUUAUAGGGUCGUGAUCACUUCGGGAGGUGAUCAUGGGUAUGUUAUAUACAUACUAUACAUGAUACAAUGAUGUGACUAAUGUCGGGUCAGCUCGUAGAGUACUCGGGAUGGCUUCAUGGACUGGGGGUUGAAAGGACAUGUUUUCUCGACGGCCCUCUAUGUGGAUCUUGUGUGGUGGAGCGACAAGGCAGGUUGAGACACCUAGGAGAGAGGUGGCUUGGUCCCUAGUCGGUUUUCGCGGUUAUUUCAUAAUAACACGCUUGACAAGUUUGGUAUUUCAUCUGAGUAGGUCGUUUGAACUAUGGGCACUAACCUUCACGCACGAGCAGUUAUGGGUAUCUUGGCGUCAUUGUAUCAGCCGAAGCUCUUUGUAUGUCAACAUUGGUGAGUCGCGCGCCCGAAUGGUCCGCAUAAGCACCUGCCUUGUAAAGGAGGUUUCUAGGACUCAUCUCGGCCGCCCACGCAACAUGCAGGAGUGCAAAGGGCGAUGGGCCCAAGACCCAUGCGCACAUAGAAUUUAGUCCUACGAGUUGGCCGCUCUGUUGAGCAUAGGUAGGGCUAUGAUGUGUUGAUCUCCCGAGUCCAGUCAUGACCCAGGAAAGUGUGUCCGACCAGAGGUUAUCAAGCGUGUUGGAAAAUGUGGUGCACCCCUGCAGGGAUUAAUUAACUAUUCGAAUAGCCGUGACCAUGGUAAUAGGACGACUUGGAGUUGUAUUUCGACCACUUACAACUAAAACCGGAUAAUUAGUAAAAUACACCCAGAUAAGAGAUAUAUACAACUCGGCGAUUGCUCUCUCUCAAGGAGACGAGGAGAGGAUCUCUAGGCUAGUAUGAUUAUUGCUAUACGAUGGUACUUGAUUACUAUAAAACUUGUUCUAUUCUCAUGCUGAAAGAUGAAGGCUGCAAGUAGCGUAGUCUUCGACUGGACUAGCUUUUCCCCCUUAUUCUGGCAUUCUGUAGUUUAGUCCACAAACAAUAUCCCUUUCAUUUGAUACCAAUGCAUAUGUAGUUUACACCUGAUGUAAGUCUCGCGACUACUUUGGAUGAGUACUCCCAACCACUUUUGUAACCUUUUCCCCCUAUGUUCUUCUACCCCGAUUGUCGAAGUCACAUGAAAGAUCCCAUGAGCCAAAUGCCACCACCGAUGAUGGCUACUACCCCGACAGAGCCUACUACUACGUGGAGGCUGCUAACGACCAGAAGUAGUUAGGAGGCUCCCAGGCAGGAGGUCUUGCCUUUUCGAUAAUUGUAUCUUCUAUGCUAGCCUUCUUACGACAAAACUUGUUUACUUAAUAUCUGUAGUCAGGUUAUGUUCCUUCCGCUAACUCAUGUAUUCAAGACCUCAUGGCCAUGGCUUGUAAUAUAUACCUUGAUGUUUGAAUUUGAGUCUGGAGUUGUGUUGUGAGAUAUUGAUUAGUGUGUCCUUGAGCUUGAUCGGACAUGUAUCGUGUAUGAUUAGUGUACGAUCAAAUCGAGGGCAUCACAGAUAUCUUGGGAUAUCACAAUGUUAUUGCUAUUUAAUUUAGUACACAUAUAUACAUGUCAAAAGUUGGAAGGCUUGGCCUUUUUCUUGGUGUUUUUUCCACCUUUGUCGCCAAAGUUACUUGUGUACCAGUGUUAUGUUCCAUACUGAGCACUCCUAACAUGCUUGGGGGUGUUAUGGGGACCCCCUUGAUUUUUGUUUUGGGACAGAACUCUUCUGGAAAGGCUCAAUAUUGGUACUACAUUUGCCUAAUAACUAAUAAAACUUGCAUAGGGGCUUUCCAAACCCCGUGGAUAAUUAAUCAACCCCCCGGAGAGUGAUCCUCAUGAUUGUUCGUCCAAACUAGAGUCGUGGGUGGGCCCAACCCGGGGAAACUCGAAAGAUUUCUAUCAGGCCAUUGUAUGAUGUGCUCAUCUGGUCGUGUCUAACACUGAGAUACCUACGACUAUAAUUGGGAUUGUCGACACGCCGGAUGGCCUAAGUGGAUUUGUUUUAGCUUUCUCGAAUGUCCUGUGCACUAGGAUUGCUAGGAUACUUUGGGAUAUCUGUAGGUUGUGGUUUUCCAUGCAGCUUGUGGCUGGUUUGUGAUGGAUGAGUUGUUACACCACUCUAGGGUUAAAUAUUUGUGAGAGCCAUGAUCGCGGUUAUGUCGGAACUUGGAAAUUUUCUUAACACACGAUUAUAACAAACUUCACGUAAACUCAACUAAAAUGCACCAACCGUGUGUGUAACUAUGACCGUCUCCUCUUGUGAGGUUUGAACCAAGAAGCGAACAUGGUGGGGUUAUGUUUAACUCGUAAGUAGGUGUUCAAUAUCACUGAUUGAUCAUUACUAGUUUGCAUCCGUUUAUGUGUAUAUCACUCUUCUUAUUCUUGUACUCAUAAGUUAGCCAAAUAUAAAUGCUUAGUUCUUGCUACAGCCUCACCACUUAACCAUUCCUUCCCCAUUAAGCUUUGCUAGUCUUGAUACCCUUGGAAAUGAGAUUGUCGAGUCCCCGUGGCUCAAAUAUUAAUAAAACAAUAGUUGCAGGUACAGGUAAUGCGAUUCUUUGACAUGAGAGUGAUGCUUAUUUGAGUUGGUGUUCUUACUAUUGUUGUUCUUCAUGGAUCAUAGGAUGGGUUCCAGGCUGGCAACCUAGGAUUAUCAAGGAUGGAUGUCGCUUUUAUCGUUUAAUUUCGUUUUGUAGUCAGACCAUUCUUUUAUGUAUGAUGAUUGCAAUGAAUGUUGGUAUUUGAGAUGAUCAUGAUUUAGCUUGUGGCUAGUGUAAGCCAAUUCCAUAUACUUGUUUCCUCUUUACAUGUUCUUUUAACAAUAUCCAUUCUCGAGGCACAAUGAGAUGUGCUUCUAUCCCUAUCAAGUAGGGCUGGACCAAAAGCUCGUAGCUCACAAGCUUAAGGAGUGAUCGAUAGUUCGGCUCGUUAAGCUCGUGGCUCGCUUUUUAAUGAACAGAGUCAAUCAUCGAUUUUAGCUUGUUAAGCUUAAUGAGCUUAACGAAUGAGCUAACGAAUUUCACGAGUAGAUCAUUAAGCUCGUUAGUAACAACACAACCGAUUUUUGUCUUACAUGACAAAAUUGAUGUAACACCUCAGCCCAUCUGUUGAAUAUAAUCUACAUAGGAAGCAAUAAACUAGUGAGUUUCCUUUUGUAGCCACCAUGUUCCUUUUUAAAAACACAUCUACACACUCAUCAUGUAGAUCGUAACACAUCAAAAUUUGUUAACGAACGCCCACGAGCGCUCACAAGCUUAACGAGCUUCAAACAAAUCGAGUCGGGCAGGGUUUUCUGCUUGUUAAUCUUAACAAGCUUAACGAGUCGACCCUUAAUGAGAACAAGCUUAACGAGCCGAGUAGCUCGUUAAUCCACCCCUACAAUGAAGUCCUCGAGCCUAGAUGAGUAUAGUACCGCAUCCAUGUCGAGUGACAUCGAGGACGCAGAUCCGCCUGUCUGGCGCCCGAUCUGGGGUCAACCUCGUAACCAUCGUGCUCGUCUUCCAUUAGUCCAACGUCGAGCCCUGGCCUCUAUUUUAUCCAGUUCACGGAAGGGUUUCCACCGCCCGAGUCAUCAUACAACAACCAGAUGGAUGAGGAGCCACCAAAGGAUGAAAAUUAUGACGACGACACUGAUGUGAAGGAAUGGUCGAACAAGGAGGACAACGAUGAGUACACUGAUGAUGACAUCAACGAUGAUGAUGAUGAUGAAUGGUCAAACAAGGAGGACGAGGACGAGGGCAUCGACGACGGAGGUGACGACUAUGAUGAAAAGCUAGUGGUUAGAGGCAAGAAGCGCCCAUGCCAAGUCAAUGUUGUCAGGCCAUCCAACAACAACAACAACAAGAAGAAGUAAAUCAAAUUGUAUAUUGAUAUGUCCCUAACAUAUCUAUAAUUUUUGAUUGUUCCAUGCUAUUAUAUUAUCAUUCUUGGAUAAUUUUUGAGUAAUUACCAAUUUAUAUUAUUUUUUGGGCACUAACCUAUUGACCCAAUACCUAGUGUUAGUUGUUGUUUUCUGUAUUUUAUCACUUUCCAGGUUUACCGUACCAAACGAAGUCCAAUUGCGUAGAAACUUUUUUAUGUUUUUUUCCAGACCAAAAGAAAACCUGUAAGCCUCGGGAGAAGACCACUUCAUUGAGGGGGACUUCCACCCGAUCCACUCAUUCGCCCACUGGCAUCACCCAAAAGCCAACCAGCCUGCGGAGGCCCUUGAACACUGUACUAGUUCAUCAACCAACCUCCACGAGAGGCAAUCCACCAAACCAGGCGUAGGGUAUUAUGCUUCUCAGCGGCCCGAACUUGGGUAAAUUGCCGUGUUCUGUGUCUUCCUCACCAUCGAGUGAGUUCUCUUCCAUUCCCAGCGAGUAGCAGGUUAGGUGAGGCGAGCCCGCGAGAGAUCUUCGUACACGCCCCUGAGUUCGAAUCUUUAGGGUUUUUAGGAGCCCGAAAUCCGACAAAUACUUAUCACGAACAAGCCAGUACUUUUACCAUGAGAUCUUGGCACCACGUCGAGAAAUCAUGCUGAUUUUCAUGUAAUUCAUAGCAUUUUUCAUUUUUUGAAUUUAUAAACCAAGAUUGUAAAUGCUUGUGUCCAAACCAUUACCCAAGAUUUUCAUAAUUUCUUCAAAUUUAUUACAUGGGGCAUAAAUUACGGAAGCAAGUAGUAUACAAAUAUGACUGUUUUCCUACUAGUUUUUCCUACAUCUUGCAUGCUCAUGUGUUUCAAUCUUGAAUUAUGGCCAUUAAGUGGCUAGAAACUAACUUAAUAUCUUUAAAAUGCAAAUUGAGCCCCCAAAAUUUCCAAAUUUAGGAUGUCGGUCGCAUUCGUGCAUUGUAAUGAUGAACAAAAAACUAGGCUGAAUGAGUCAGCAACUCGUGGUUCGUCGACAAACAUGUUCCAAUGUUCCCUCUUGGAACCGCGAGCCUUCGUGUGAUGCUCUAGUUUGUGAGAGGUAUGUGUCAAAGCUUAUCUCGAACAAGCCAAUACUUUUACCACAUCAUAUUUUCAAGGAUUUUAGAGAAACAAUUUCAUUUUCUUAAAUUUUAAAACAAAAAUUUCCAAUGGUUGUGUCUAGAUCGUUACUCAAGAUGUGUGAGGUUCCUUACAAGUUAUUGCAUGGGGCAUAAAUAUGGUCACAAGGACAGACGUAUGAUUUUCCCAACCAGAUUUGGCUUCAUCUUGUGUGUUCUUGUAUUUCCAAUUUGAAUUACGUCCAUUUAAUGGCUAGGAACUCACUUCAUGGCUUAAAGGGCAAAUGCAUAUUGAAAAUUUUCCAAUCUUAGCAUAUCGGUCGUAUUCGUGCAUUAUAAUGGUAGGGAUCUUUUUCUUACAAUUAAAACACUAUCUGUUACUAUUGUAUCCUAAACUAGUUUUACGAUUCUAUAAAAAAGGGGAACUGCAUAUACACAGUUCUAUAUAGGAACCAUUUGCGAUGAAAAAUCACAGAUCUAUUUAUGGCUUACACCGAAAGCUUUGUUGGCUUCAUCUAGUCUCGGAUUCCAUUCAACAUAGAUCCCCAUUCCCAACAAACCCUUUGUGGUGACGCCCUCGAGACGCUUCAUGAGGGUGCAUAUGACCACUGCCUCUGCCCCGAGCGCUCCCACCUUCGUCGAGAGCGACGUCACCUCCACUGAGAGCGCACUCACACCGCUUUGAGUUCAUCCGCAUCCACUACAAGGUCCUCUAUGGCGGCCGACAAGGCGUCUACAGCUGCGAAGAAGGCACCUACAACUACUGUGAUGGUGGUUGCAUAAGCCAAGAGCACGCGAGCAUCAUACCGUGCCACGAAGGUCACCCUAGCCCGGGUCGAGGCCAUCAAAGCAAAAAUCGGGAACGUGAUACGGGGUGGAACCCCUAGACUUUGAUCUUUCAUGAAUUGGAGGGGGAAACCUCGAAGAUCACGAACAACACAGGGAAGAACAAGGACAAAUCACAAGAGGAAACACUCAAGAACAAGUCCAAUCACACGUCCACUAUACUCGCACCACACAAGAUCCAUAAAGGUACAUGAACAACAAAGGGGAAGUAAGAUACAUGGUAAAGUUCAUCCCAAAUACCAUAGGGAGAUGAGAUCUUGAAUCCAAUAGGGAUCUUUCCUAAGAAGGGGCUUUGGCAACUACUAGGGUUCUUAUCUCAUGAAGGUCAUCUCCAUGGGAAAAGUGGUGGAGAAGGAGAAAUGCUCAACUACAAAUAAGAUAAACCAUUGCUAACCCUAGAAUGGAGGAGGGGAUGGUCUAUAUAUAGUCUUGGACAGAAUAGAGAAAGGGGAUGGAGUACAUGGCCCUAUGGCCCGGUGGUGCACUAGUGUAGGCGCGGGAUGUCCUAGCUGGAAGCCGGAUGUAUGGCCCGUGUUGGGGGUGCCAGAUGACUGGGGCUGGCUGGAUGUCCGGUCGGGCGGUGGCUUGGUCCUGCGAGGUUCUAGACUCCUCACGAAAGAUUUUAGGGAAGUGGGUCGAAUAUCCAGCCGGUCGAUAGUGCACCAGAUGUCCGGGCUCUGGUCGAAUGUCCGGCCGCUAUAGACUUUCGGCCUCGCCCCUCGAGCGGUUCAUUCACCUGUCUCCUUAGUGGCUUGGCCUUCACUCCAAGUGUCGUCAUGGUCGUCCCAAAUGUACCUAAGUAUACACAAGGACUGUACUUGAGGUAGAAUCUAUGAGUCGAGUGAACUCAAAGAGGAAGCAUUAAUGAGCAAGUCCACCUUAUGUACAAUGGCACUCGGUGCUUGGGGAGUAGUCGAAGUGUACAUGGGGAUGGCCAUAGGAUGCUUCACAUCAUGUCCCCCCAUUGGGAAAGACUUGUCCUUGGAUUGUAUUCCUCAUUGCCAUGGAAGUUGAAUUGAUGUACGUACGUGUAGUUGGAUGGAGUGGAAGUCACGGUGUGAUCAAAGUACUCCAAUAUGUCUCCGAGAUUGUGUACAUGCAAAACGAGAAAGAUGAAAGUAUACAUGGAAAUACAUUGGUUAGUGCACCCAAGGUGUCCAUCAAUUACUCACGAGUUCGUCCUACAAGAAUGUUCGUGACAAGUAUCUUGAAGCUUAAUAGAAUGAUAGGUAAUGGUAUGUAAAUAACUCAUCGGAGAAAAUUAAUUUAUUCUGCACAGAACGAUGUUGUAUGUGCGAUUAAUGCGACCAUUAUGCAAAAUGAUGUCAUAUAGAGAAGGUUCAUCAAUAGCAUGAGCAUCGAAAAUAUGGCUCAGAAUGGUUGUGUUAUCAUGCAAUUGAUGUUGGACAAAAUGAGCAUCAUGUAUAAAUAGUCCAUCAAGGUAAAUCACAACAAAUUUGCUAAGGAAGUGCACAAGCUUACAUAUCAAGGAUGAUAUGAAAAGACAAGAUGCAUGGACCAGUUCGUAAUGUGAGUCAAUCCAUUCAUAUUGAGCAAAUUUGUUGUGGAAAGAAAGGUUGCAUUUAGCAUAUUGGACAACAAAUGUGAAAGUGUUGGUGCAAGUUUCCAAAUGCAUGGGGAUGUACCCAAGUCUAAAUGGCUCAGCAUGAGAUGUUGCUUCUCCAUCCACGAUAUGUAUCAUGUAAACGAGUAGGAGAUAACAACAAUGGAAUUGCAACCCAUUCAAUAAGUGCAUGGGAAAAUGACCGAAAAGGAGCAAGUUCGCCGUAGGAAAGUUCUUGAAAAUGUUGUUGUCGCACAAAUCUAUGCCUUCGGAUGACCAGUAAGUCUCAUGAUGACACCACCUUGCAAAGCCAUCAAAAUGAAGGAACACGAGAAACGCUCAGAAAAAAUGAGUUAUUCGUGAAUGCAAAACCUAUCAUCCGUGUGGUGAAAGACACAACAAGUGUCAUCAUCAUUUUUAUAAUAAGAAGGGACAAGAUAAUGAGGCAUGGUAUGUAAGCAUAUAAUGCAGGUAUAACCAAAGACAUUAAGCUCACAGAAACAAGCAUGUGUCAUAUGUAAGAUGUCCAGGUCUCCAAGAACAAUAAGCAUAACAUGGUCGCACUCACUAAGAGUGAUUAUGAGAGAGGCAACUAAUGGAGACAAGAUAGAAGUAUCAAAACAAAUCAUGUGAGAGGCAUGAACAUGUAUAUCAUCAACGCAAUGAAAUAAAACAUGAUGUAGCAUAGGUGAUGCAACAAGACAAGCAAUUAUAGUAAUCAAGUCAUGUAUGCUAGUAGCGCGAAGAUGGAACAUACUAGAUGUAAUCAUGGCAAUCAUGUCAUGUGUGCAAAUAGUGGGCAUACAUAAUGCACAUGAUAUAACACAAUCAUGAAAACAAGAUAAAGGAUCGUCAUUGUAUUGGCAAGAAGUCCUAUGUAAAAAAGCAAUGGAACAUCUUGACUCUCCCAACACAAGAAGCAACAAUAGCAUAGUGCCCAAGGUAAACGUGGAAAGAGUAACUAGGAUCUCUACCAAGAAUACAAAUACACAUAGUAGUAGUAAAAUGGUUAAUCAUGUAUAAAGCCAAGCAUGGGCACAAUUGCAUCUUACAAGCAUACAAUGAGGCUUAACAUGCAGAGCAAACAUGAGAAAAUGGGCAUAAUAUGACAAGUGGAUAGCCCAUGGUCGUGUGGGAACCAAGUAAAAGAGGUGUGUGCAGUCCUUGCGCGGGAGGAAGGGUUGGAGAAAUAUUCACAUGAAUCCCAAAGCAUCGGUGCUCUCAAGGGACCUUUUCAUCAACUCAUGGGAUUGUGAGGUUAAUGAGUAUUCACGAGGAUCUAAACACAACAAAGGCAAAGAAAAAAUUGUGUGCGCAUGGUAUAUGUACACAUCAUCCGUUAGGAUGUGGAUGUGCAUGUUAGAGUUAGCACAAAAUAUCCAGUUCUCAAAUAACUGAGAUGCAUGAUACAAGAACAUGUCAUCCAUCAUGAAAGGUUUGUUGUUAUAUAUGGCAUAAUGGAGACUAGAAAUGUGUAGUCCAUCACUUGAAAUAUCUAGUGCAUGAUUAUCCAUGAUAUAUAAUCACUCUCAUGGCAUGGCAUAUGAGAUGAAUUCUAAAAUUUUCAAGGGAAGUGAUACGGGGGAAACCCGAGGGUGGCCUAAUCUUCACGAAUUGAAGGUGGGUUUGAGGAAGAACACGAAGAACACUAAGAACGUGAGGAGAGAACAUGGAUAAAUCAAAGGGAAAAAUACUCUAUUGGACAAGAUCCAUACCAAGUACUCUUCAAAUCACAAGAAAUACAUGAGGUGCAUCAAGAUCCACAAACAACAACGGAAAUAAAGAUACAUGGGUAGUUCAUCCAAAUCUCUAGAAGAGAUGGGACUUAAAAUCCAUGGUGGAUCUUCCCUCAAAAGGGGCCAUGACAUCCUCUACAGAUCUUCUCCGGUGGAGGCCUCCGUCUCCAUGUGAGAAGUAGAGGAAGGAGAAAAGCUCAUCUAUGAAUGAGCUAUCACUUUGCUAACCCUAGAAAUGACGAGGGGGUGGAGUAUAUAUAGUGGGGGGGUACAUGGGCCUUCUUCCCGUUGGCUGCGUGCAGGCCCGCACCAGAUGUCUGGCCUGGGGGAUGGAUGUUCGGCCGUUCGUGAGCCACCAGGUGUUCAGGGCUUUGGACGGAUGUCCAUCCUGGCGAUGGUCAGGCAGCUGCGGAUUUGGGAGUCCUCGCGCCGGAUUUCUGGCAAGGCGUCGGGUGUCCGGCCUGUCUUGGCUGCCAGAUGUCCGACCACUAUAGGAUUGGUUGCUCGGGGUGCUUCUCCACUUCUUCCUCAUAGAUGUCGAAUGUCCGGCCUGGGCCCGGAUGUCCGGCCGUUGUAGCUUCAACAACUCUGUCUUAUUCUCUUAUCGCUUCCACUCUUGCAUCAUGGAUGGUGUAGUUGCUCCUUGGCACUUGCACUCCUCGUCGUCAUCCGUGAACCUCCGACAAUACCUAUGCAUGCACAGGGGGGUGUAUCAAGUAGUAUACCAUCCUCGAAGGGGUCAAGUGAGCACAUGUAAAGAAGAUGAUUCACCGUUAUGAGUGUUGAGUAGAUGUGGCACCUGUCACUUGCUAGAUGGACUCUUGUCAUGGUGUUGUCCAUAGGUUGCUCCAUAUCAUCCCCUCCCCCUUGGGAAAGAUCCGUCCUAGGAUCAAAACCCAAAUUACCAUGAGAAAGAGAUGUUGUUGACGUCUAGACGUGGACGAUCACUAAGCUCUCAUCGUCUAUAAGCCCGAAAAGGGCACUCUCCAAUGCCACAUCAUCUUGGAAUUCCUUCAAAAUGAGUAAGGAAAACAAACACUUGUAAAAACGAAUGUGGUUAGCGUUAGUGCAAAACCAAGCAUUCAAGCGGUUAUUCAUCAAACAAGUGUCGUCAUCAUGCAUAACAUAUGGUGUGACAUUGGAUUGCGUCAUGGCAUGUAAGCAUAUAAAUUGAGCACAAGCAAUGUAAUCAUGGAAACAAGUAUGCAAAGAUGAGGUAGGGAUGCAAAUAUGCGUGAAAAUAGAACGAGCAUCUACCUCAAGGUCAUAGCACAAAUGCACAAAGAAAUUUACAAAAGGUCUAUGGUAGGCAUAGGAAUCAUUCACAACACCAAUUAAAAUGAAGUGUCUAAACACAUGGGGCAAUCCGAAGUGCAAGGCAAUCCAAGCAUAAUGUGCAUAUGGUAUAGUGAAGAUAGUGUGUCACUCAACACAAUUGAAAGAGAAAUUGGCAAUCAUGUGUGAGCUAAGCAAGUUAAGCAUGUAGCAAUAAAUGGGGCAUGAAAAUUGUGAAGAAAUGACAUUGUUGCAACCAAGCAUAUGAUAAGAGCAAGUAAUCCACAAGUUGGAUGCAACACACAAGGUAUAUGUGUCACGAGGCAUGGAAAUGUGGCAAUCGUGCAUCAAAGCAAUACCUCUAACAUGAGGGAAAAUAAGUGGUCCAUGAUGACCAAUAUAUGUCAUGGUGCAAGCAAGACAACUAGUAUGAUGCACAAUAGCCAUGCUCAAGAAGGAUGUCACCUCAAAAGUGUGUCUUUGUGUUUCCUUCACAAUGUCGAGACACGACCGAGUGCGAUGUAGAAACGCAUCGGUGUAGCGUGGCUCACUCCCAAGAGCUCGAAUGGUCAAGUCACGUGAAGUGGAAUUGACAUGUAGUCGAACUAUCCUAGUCAUCGCCCUCCAAGCAAUUGGGAUUCUCUCUAGCUAAAUUUGACUCAUCUAUAGUCCCUUUAUCAUUCAUUUUCAUAUUAGUAAGAAAAUAUUCAAUAGGAUAAGUACCUAGCACUUUAAGAUCUUCAUCAUGAUUCCUAACGGAGAGAGAUUCCGAUUUAGCAGCCAUCCUGUUUACUAGAGUGGUUUGUUUAUCUUUAAUGUUCCCUAUUAAUUCUUUAGUUUGAGCAAAUCGUAGUUGAAGAUUAGAUACUUUUCGAUUGACUUCAUCAAGUUGUUGACUAAUCGCAUCAAGUAUAGUUGAGUGUUCCUUAAUUUCCUCAACAAAAAGUUUAUUGUGAUCAUAUUAUGAGGUCAUGAAAGCUUUCACCAAUUUAAGACAUCUUUUUGUAGUAGGAAAUACUAUAGAAUUUACCUUGUGACAUGGUGACCAAGCACACAAAGUAAAAAGUGAUGUCUACUACGCAACUUUAUUCUUGUAGACGUUGUAGGCCCUCCAAGUGCAGAGUUUUUCAGGGCAACAACCAAUUUCUUUCAAAUAUAUGACCUAAGUUUUUCAAUCCAUGAGAGUUGUAGUAUGACGAUGGUCUCUCCCAAGCAACCCUGUAAUCAAAUACAAGAAAUUUCUUGUGUCCCCAACACACCCAAUACAAUAUAAAGUUGUAUAGAUGCAUUAGUUCGGUGACGAGAUGGUGAUACAAGUGUAGUAUGUAUAGUAGAUAUAGGUUUUUGUAAUCUGAAAAUAUUAAAACAACAAGGUAGCAGGUGGCACACAACAAGCAAAAGGUUAUAUUCAUGCUUAGAAAUAAGGACUAGGGUUCAUACUUUCACUAGUGCAAUCUCUCAACAAUGCUAACAUAGUAGGAUCAUAUUAUCAGCCAUCAAGGUGAAACAAAGAAUCACUCCAAAGUUCAUAUAUUGUCUUCACAUGAUACCUAUAGUAUUAUGUCAUUCAAAUAAUUUAUAUCACUAAAUAUAAGCUAUGGAAACACAAAAGUAAGCAAACUAUGCAUGCAAAACAAAAUUUGUGAAAAAUAGAAGAAUCUGUGAAGAUAUUAAUGAUAACCAUAAUUCCCUAACUCUAAAAAUCAUGAAAAAGUAAGAAAACACAGAGAACUUUCAUAUCAAAAUUGUGUAACAAUUUUAGAAGUUUUUUUACGCUCUAGUCAAAUCAUAGAAAUUCUGCACCUGACGUAAAAGUUUUUGUUUUUUAACAGAAUCAAACAAGCAAGUAUCCACACUAUCCGAAAGGCUUUACCUGAACCUUAUUGAUAUAAAUGAGACAAAACAUAAUUAACACAAUAUCUUAAUCAUGAUAACACACAAAAAUAGAAGGGAUAAAUAUUUUUUUUAUCUCCCAACAAGCGCCUUUAUUUAACGCAUCGUUAGCUAGGCAUGAUGAUUUCAAUGAUGCUCACAUAGAAGUAAAAAAUUGAAACACAAUGGGGGUAUCAUGAAGCAUAUGACAAGCACAUUUAAGUAUAACCCACUUCCUAUGCAUAGGGAUUUUCUGAUAAAACAAUUUAUUGUAGCAAGAAUAACCUAGCAUAGGAAGGCAAAACACGUGCAACUUCAAACCUUUGAACACAUAGAGAGGAAACUUGGUAUUAUUUGAAUACAUACAAGCAUAUGCUGCUCUCUCAUAAUAAUUUUCAAUAGUGUCAUGAAGGAAUUCAACAAUAUAAAUAUUACAUAAAGCAUUAUUUUCAUGAUGCACAAGCAUAGAAUUUUUUUCACUACCCCCAUAAGCAAACAUCUCAUUCAUAAUAGUGGGAGUAUCAUAGGAGAAUUAAAUGCUAUAAAUUGUUCCAUAUUGAAAUAGUAAUGUUCAGAAAAUGGGUAUUCAUAAUUAUGACAAGUUUUAUAAUAAUAAAUGUCACUACCUUUUAUAACAUAAGUAUCAUCACAAUGUCAUCAUAAGUAGCAACUUUGAUCUCAUUAUAAUCAAUUGAAACCUCUUCCAAUUUUGUGGAAUCAUUACUAAGUAAAGUCAAGACCUCUCCAAAUCCACUUAUAUCAUUAUAAUAAUAUUCAACACCCUACAAAAUAGUGGGAUAAUAAUCAUAUAAAGUUUACGCUCUUCCAAACCCACUUUCGUAGAAAUAGCAAUUAUCAUAAAUAGGAAGCUAAAAAUAUCAUCUCUCAUUAUGCAUAGUAUCCCCAAGCUUGGAACACACAUCAAUUGCAGAAACUAUAUUCUCAAAUAUGUAAUUCUCAUCAAGCAUAGCAUUCCCAAGCUUGUGGGUUUGCAUAUCAUUAGCAUAAUCAUCAAUAGCAUGAAUAUCACCAAUAGUGUAACAAUUAUUAUCAGCAUAAUUUUACAAGUUGGAGCCAAAAAGAUUUUCAAUAUUAUGAGGGGUAUCAUUAUCUUCCGAAUCAUCCUCAUCACAACAAGUAGUAGUCAUAACAAAAUAAUCAUCGAGUGUAUCAUCGUCCAUACUAAUUUUGUAUUCAAUCUCAAUGAUUAUAGGAGCAACAUUAUUUGGGAGAGAUACCAUUUUACCUCCACUUUUCCUUGUUUUCUUCUUCUUCACCAUCUUAUGUGCGGGUUUAAGUAAUUUCGCCGACCUUAUUGUUGGAGAGAUGGUAAGCUCCUCCUUGGAACCUGAUUCAUUACGAGAAACAGUGGGAGGCUGUUGGGAGACCUUUACCCUUUCAUUAGUAUUCCUUUUAUAUUCAUUCGUGUUGGGGAACGUUGCAAGGGAAACAAAAGAAUUCCUACGCUCACCAAGAUUAAUCUAUGGAGAUUAACAACUACGAGAAAGGGACUGCCUAUACAUACCCUUGUAGAUCUCUUAGUGGAACCGUUAAGAAACUCGGUUGAUGUAGUAGAACAUCUUUGCGAUCCAAUCACAAUCUAUCCCACGAUCCAAUCAUGAACGUCCCGAUCAAGUGUCAAAUGGUCGACACCUCCGCGUUCAAUACACAUACAUCUCGAUGGAGCCUUCACCACCUUGAUCCAGCGAUCGUGGGUGAAGUAGUAUCUAAGUUCUCCGGUAGCACAACAGCGUGGCAGUGGUGGUGGUGGUGCGAUCUCAGGAGGGCUUCGCCAAGCGCUCUCACGAUCACGGCGGGGGAGAAGUACUAUGAUGAAGAAAGGAGGGCUGCAUCGUGGCUUUCAAGUUUAGCUGCCCUCCCUCUCCUCUAGCAUAUAUAGGUGUAGGGGAGGAGGAAGUCGACGCCCUAGGGUUUCCCCUAGGGUGGGGCAACGGCCACCAAGGUGGCUUGGCCCCCAAGUUAGGUGGGGGUGGCGGCCACCUCUGGGCCAGCACACCUCCCUGGCCACAUGGGCCUUAGGUGGGAGGGGUGGCCAACCCACCAAGAGCUAGUGUGCUACCUCUCACAGCCCAUGGGGCCCUCUCGGCAGGUGGACCCUCCCGAUGGACCCUCGGAACUCUUCCGAAACCUCCGUCACAAAUUGUAACCUUCUGAAACUCUUCUAGAACUCGAAUACCAACUUCCCAUAUAUCAUUCUAUACCUCCAGACCAUUCCAAAGCUCCUCAUCAUGUCCGGAAUCUCAUCUGGGACACCGAACCACCUUCGGUCACUAACACAAUAACUCAACCAUAUCUAUAUUGUCAUCGAGUGUUAAGUGUGCAGACUUUGUGGGUUCGAGAACUAUGCACAAACGACCGAGACACCUCUAUGGUCAAUAACCAAUAGUGGAACCUGGAUGCCCAUAUUGGUUCCUACAUAUUCUACAAAGAUCUAUAUUGUUCGAACCAUGAUGUCAAGGAUUCAACUAAUCCCGUAUGGAGUUCCCUUUGUCCAUCGGUACGUUAAUUCCCCAAGAUUCGAUUGUCGGUAUCUCCAUACCUAGUUCAAUCUCGUUAUCGACAAGUCUCUUUACUCUUUCUAUAAUACGAGAUCCCGUGACUAAGUCUUUUAUCACAUUGCUUGCAAGCUUAUUAUGAUGUUGCAUUACCGAGUGGGCCCCGAGAUACCUCUCUGUCAUACGGAGUGACAAAUCCCAGUCUUGAUCCAUUCCAACUCAUGAGAUACCUGUAGAGCAUAUUUAUAAUCACCUAGUUACAUUAUGAUGUUUGAUACACACAUGGAAUUCCUCCGGUGUCAGCUAGUUGCAUGAUCUCAUGGUCAUAGGAACAGAUAUAUUGACAUGCAAAAAGCAAUAGAGGUAAACUGGAUAUAAUAAAACGCUAUGCUUAUGGUUUGGGUCUUGUCCAUAACAUCAUUUUCCUAAUGAUGUGAUCAUGUUAUCAAAUGAAAACUCAUGUCUAUGGCUAGGAAACCUGAUCCUUCUUUGAUCAACGAGUUAGUCCAGUAGAGGCUUACUUGGGACACUUUGUAUCUAUGUAUCCACACAUGUAAUUUAGUUUCCAAUCAAUACAAUUAUAGCAUGGAUAAUAAAUGAUUAUCAUGAACAUGGAAAUAUAAUAAGAAUCACUUUAUUCUUGCCUCUAGGGCAUAUUUCCAAUAAAUUGGUUUUUGUGUUUUUCUAUAGUUGGCAAUAUAAGCAUUCUCAUUGCAAUUCACUACGCAAAACAUAUAGAUUUCUUGUAGAUUAGUUUCAUUAUCAUUAGUGAUAAAGAAUAUACCAAACCAAUCAUUUUUGUGUGACAAUUCUUCACACCAAAAAAAUAAACAAAGUUCAUUAUAGAGUUCACGGGAGAUCAAAUUAUCACAAUAUUUAGAAACGGUUUGAUCAUGAAAAUGCAUGCAUUGGAAAUUAAGAUGACCAACCCUAUUGCAAAGUUCACAAGUAAUGGGAUGGAGAGAGCAUACUCUUGUGGCCAAUUAAUCUAUCACUUUAAGCCCUCAAUUGGUUUUAUCAUGUUUAUUCUUCUUACAAAAUAUAUCAUCCCUAUAUGGCAUGUCUUCAUAAAGUUUAUUCACUCCAUAAAAAUUAACAUGCUCAUAGGAAAUAUUUUUAUCAUGGCUAGUGCAAUCAUAAUUAGCUUCAUGGGUAUUCACGGAAUUCAUACUAAAAAUAUUGACAUCAUGCUAAUCAUUCAAGGAAUUCAAAUUAAGCAUUUUUAUAAUUUCUUCCUCUAACAGUUGAGCACAAUUUGCCGAACCAUCAUUUUCAUGAAAGACAUUAAAAAGACGAAGUAAGUGAGGAAACCUAAACUCCAUUUUUGUAGAUUUAUUUUCUAAAACCAAACUAGUGAAAAACAAGAAACUAAAAUAUUUUAUUGCAAGAUCUGAAGAUAUACCUUCAAGCACUCACCUCCCUGACAACAUCGCCAGAAAAGAGCUUGAUGUCUACUACACAACUUUAUUCUUGCAAACGUUGUUGGGCCUCCAAGUGCAGCGUUUUGUAGGACAGGAGCAAAUUUACCUGAAGUGGAUGAUCUAAGUAUUAUCUAUUGGAAAUAUGCCCUAGAGGAAAUAAUAAAGUGGUUAUUAUUAUAUUUCCAGUUCAUGAUAAAUGUCUAUUAUUCAUGCUAUAAUUGUAUUAUCCGAAAACAAUUGUACAUGUGUGAAUACAUAGAUCACAAUGUGUCCCUAGUGAGCCUCUAGUUGGCUAGCUCGUUGAUCAAUGGAUGAUCAUGGUUUUCUGAUAAUGGACAUUGGAUGUCAUUGAUAACGGGAUCACAUCAUUGGGAGAAUGAUGUGAUGGACAAGACCCAAUCCUAAGCAUAGCACUAGAUCGUGUUGUUCGUAUGUUAAAGAUUUUAUAAUGUCAAGUAUGUUUUCCUUGAACUGUGAGAUUGUACAACUCCUGGAUACUGUAGAAGUUCUUUGAGUGUAUCAAACGUCACAACGUAACUGGGUGACUAUAAAGGUGCACUACCGGUACCUCCGAAAGUGUCUGUUGGGUUGGUACGAAUCGAGACCGAGAUUUGUCACUCUGUAUGAUGGAGAGGUAUCUCUGGGCCCACUCGGUAGAACAUCAUCGUAAUGAGCUCAAUGUGACUAAGGAUUUAGCCACGGGAUGAUGUGCUAUGGAACGAGUAAAGAGACUUGCCGGUAACGAGAUUGAACAAGGUAUGGGGAUACCAACGAUCAAAUCUCGGGAAAGUAUCGUACCGAUAGACAAAGGGAAUUGCAUACGAUAGAUUGAAUCCUUCACAUCGUGGUUCAUCCGAUGAGAUCAUCGUGGAACAUGUGGGAACCAACAUGGAUAUCCAGACCCCGCUGUUGUUUAUUGACCCGAGAGUGUGUCAGUCAUGUCUGCAUGCUUCCCGAACCCGUAGGGUCUUCACACUUAAGGUUCGAUGAUGCUAGGGUUAUAUGGGAAUAGUAUAUGAGGUUACCGAAGGUUGUUCGGAGUCCCGGAUGAGAUCCCGGACGUCACGAGAAGCUCCGGAAUGGUCCGGAGGUGAAGAUUGAUAUAUAGGAUGAGGGAAUUUGGACACCGGAAAUGUUUCGGGCCUCACCGGUAACGUACCGGGACCAUCGGAAGGGUUUCGGGGGUCCACCAGCCCCAAAGGGUCACAUGGGCCAAAAGGUGGAAGGGAACUAGCCCAGAGUGGGCUGGUGCGCCUCCCACCAAGGCCCAAGGCGCAGGUUUAGAGGGAAGGGGGGAAACCCUAAAGCUGAUGGACCCAAGGCCCAUGUGGGGUGCGCCACACCCCCUCCUCCUUUCCUGGCCUCCACCACCAGCCCUAGAUAGGGCUGCCGCACCCCUUGGGGGUGGGAACCCUAAGGGGUGCACCCCCUUCCCUCUGCCCCUAUAUAUAAUGGAGGGUUUUGGCCACUUGAGGAGAUACAUAAAAGUUUCCUCCCUCUCCAGGCAACCAAGUUCUUCCACUCUUUCGUGCAGCUUGGAGAAUCUCCGCCAGAAUCCCUCAUAGCUCCACCGCCACCGUGCCGCCGCGCUGCUGGAGCUCUCCCUCAACCUCUCCCUCCUCCUUGUUGGUCAAGGUGCGGGAGACGUUGUCGGGCUGUACGUGUGUUGAACGCGGAGGUGUUGUGGUUAGGCACGUAGAUCAGAAUCACAACGCGAUCUGAAUCGCUGUGAGUACGACUCCAUCGACCGUGCUCGAGUAAUGCUUCAGCUUAGCGAUCUUCAAAGGUAUGAAGAUGCUCUACCCCAUUACUCGUUGUUGGUUUCUCCAUCGAUAGAUCCUUGUUUGGCGUAGGAAUUUUUUUGAAAUUACUACGUUCCCAAACAGUGGCAUCCGAGCCAAGGUUCUAUGUGUAGAUUCUAUGCACGAGUAGAACACAAAAGUUAUGGGCGCUAAUUUGUCAACUUUCUUGCCAUUACUAGUUUUAUCUUUUUUCGGUGGUAUUGUGGGAUGAAGCGGCCCGGACCGAACUUACACGUACGCUUACGUGAGACUGGUUCCACCGACAGACAUGCACUUGGUGCAUAAGGUGGCUAGUGGGUGUCUGUAUCUCACACUUUAGUCGAAUUGGAUUCGAUGAAAAUGAUCCUUAUGAAGGGUAAAUAGCAUUGGCAUAUCAACGUUGUGGCUGUCACGUAGGUGAGAAACGGUCUUGCUAGAAACCCUAACCACCCACGUAAAACUUGCAACAACAAUUAGAGGACGUCUAACUUGUUUUUGCGGGGUAUGUUAUGUGAUGAGAUAUGGCCAACAGGAUGCGAUGUUACAUAUGUGAUAUAUGAGAUUGAUCAUGUGCUUGUAAUAAGAUUGACGACUUGCAUGUCAAUGAGUAUGACAACCAGAAGGAGCCAUAGGAGUUGUCUUAAUUUUUUGUAUCAGAUGCAACGCCAUGUUGAUUACUUUACUUUAUCGCUAACGGUUAGCUAUAGUAGUAGAUGUAAUAGUUGGCGUGACAACUCCACGGAGACACAAUGAUGUAGAUCAUGAUGAGGGAGAUCAUGGUGUCAUGCCGGUGAUCAUGGUGCCCUGAAGAUGAUGAUCAAAGGAGCAACAUUAUAUUGGCCAUAUCAUGUCACUAUAUGAUUGCAUGUGAUGUUUAUCAUGUUUUACAUCUUAUUGCUUAGAACGAUGGUAGCAAAGAUAAGAUGAUCCCUCAUGAAAAUUUCGAGAAAGUAUUCCCCUAAGUGUGCACCAUUGCGAAGGAUCGUUCUUUCGAAGCACCACGUGAUGAUCGGGUGUGAUAGACUCUAACAAUCGCAUACAACGGGUGUAAGCCAGUUUACACACGCAGAACACUUAGGUUGACUCGACGAGCCUAGCAUGUACAUACAUGGCCUCGAAUACGGGAGACCGAAAGGUCGAACAUGAGUUGUAUGGUUGAUAAGAUAAGCAUGGAGAUGCUCACAAUUGAUGACUAGUCCGUCUGACGUAAUGAUCGGACACGAGCUAGUCGAUGUGGAUCAUGUAACACUUGGAUGACUAGAGGGAUGUCUAUCUAAGUGGGAGUUCAUUAGUAAUUUGAUUAAAUGAACUUGAUUAUCAUGAACUUAGUCUAAAUAUCUCUUUACAAAUAUUGUAGAUCCAAUGGCCAACGCAAAUGUCCCACUGAACUUCAACGCGUUCCUAGAGAAAACUAAGGUUAAAGACGAUGGCAACAACUAUGCGGACUGGGUCCGUAACUUGAAGCUUAUCCUGAUAGCUUCCAAGAAGGCUUAUGUCCUUGAUGUGCCGCAAGGUGAUCCUCCCUUACCCGCGGCACCCUAGGACAUUAGGAACGCCUGGUAGUCGCGGAGUGAUGACUACUCCCUCAUUCAGUGCAGCAUGCUCUACACCUUAGAACCGGGGAUCCAAAGGCGUUUGAGAAACACGAAGCAUAUGAGAUGUUCCAGGAGAUGAAACUAGUUUUUCAAGCUCAUGCACGGGUCGGGAGAUAUGAGGUCUCCGACAAGUUCUUCAGCAGUAAGAUGGUGGAGAACAGUUCUGUCAGUGAACACAUACUCAGAAUGUGUGGGUUGCACGGUCAUUUGACUCUAUUGUGAGUUGAACUUCCGGAUGAUGCGGUCAUAGACAGAAUCCUCCAGUCGCUUCCACCUAUCUACAAAGGCUUUGUGAUGAAUUACAACAUUAAAUGGAUGGAAAAGACUAUUCCCGAGUUGUAUUCAAUUCUGAAAUCUGCGGAGGUAGAAAUCAAGAAAGAACAUCAAGUGUUGAUGGGGAAUAAGGCCACGAGUUUCAAGAAGGGCAAGGGUAAGAAAAGCUUCAAGAAAGACGGCAAAGCUGUUCCCGCGCCCGGUAAACCAGUUGCCGGGAAGAAUUCAAAGAUAGGACCUAAGCCUGAGACUAAGUGCUACUACUGCAAGGGAACCGGUCAGUGGAAGCAGAAUUGCCCCAAGUACUUAGCGGACAAGAAGGCCGGAAACAUCAAAGGUAUAUGUGAUAUACUUGUUACUGAUGUGUACCUUAGCAGCGCUCGUAGUAGCUCCUGGGUAUUUGAUACCGGUGUUGUUGCUCACAUUUGCAACUCUAAGCAGGAACUACCGAACAAGCGUAGGCUGGCUAAGGAUGAGGUGAUGAUGCACGUCGGGAAUGGUUCAAAGGUCGAUGUGAUCGCCGUCGGCACUCUACCUCUACAUGUACCUUCCGUAUUUGUUAUAAACCUUAAUAAUUGUUAUUUAUUACCAGCUUUAAGCAUGAACAUCGUAUCGGGGUCUCGCUUGAUGCAAGAUUGCUACUCAUUUAAUUCCGAGAAUAAUGGUUGUUCUAUUUAUACGAAUGGUAUGUUUUAUGGUCAUGCCCCGCUGGUUAAUGGUUUUUUCCUAAUAAAUAUCGAUCGUGAUGAUACACAUAUUCAUUGUGUGAGUGCUAAAAUAUGCAAGGUUGAUAAUGAUAGUCCCACAUACUUGUGGCACUGCUGCCUUGGUCAUAUCGGCGUAAAGCGCAUGAAGAAACUCAGAUGGACUUUUGGAGUCACUUGAUUUUGAAUCAUUUGACACAUGUGAACCGUGCCUCAUGGGCAAGAUGACCAAGACUCCGUUCUCCGGAACAAUGGAGCGAGCAUAUAACUUAUUGGGAAUAACACAUACCGAUGUAUGCGAUCCAAUGAGCAUUGAAGCUCGCGGUGGUUAUCAUUAUUUUCUGAUCCUCAUUGAUGAUUUAAGUAGAUAUGGGUAUGUUUACUUAAUGAAACACAAGUCUGAAAACUUUGAAAAGUUCAAGGAAUUUCAGAGUGAGGUGGAGAAUCAACGCGACAAGAAAAUAAAGAUUCUACGAUCUGAUCGUGGAGAAGAAUAUUUGAGUCAUGAGUUUGGCACAUACCUAUGGAAAUGUGGAGUUGUUUCACAACACAUGCCGCGUGGCACACCGCAGCGUAACGGUGUGUCUGAACAUCGUAAUCACACUUUAUUGGUAUGGUGCGAUCUAUGUUGUCUCUUACUGAUUUACCGCUAUCAUUUUGGGGAUAUGCAUUGGAAACUGCGCAUUCACUUUAAGUAUGGCACAGUCUAAAUCCGUUGAGAGGACGCCGGAUGAAUUAUGGUUUGGCAAGUAACCUAAGCUAUCGUUUAUAAAAGUUUGGGGCUGCGAUGCUUAUGUGAAGAAACUUCAACCACAGAAGCUCAAACCCAAAGCGGAGAAGUGUGUCAUCAUAGGAUACCCAAAGGAAACUAUUGCAUGCGCCCUCUAUCUUUGAUCCGAAGGAGAAAUCUUUGUUGCCAAGAACGGAUCCUUUCUAGAGAAAGAGUUUCUCUCGAAAGAAGUAAGUGGGAGGAAAAUAGAACUUGAUGAGGUAAUAGUACCUCCUCUCGAACUAGAUAGUAACGCAGCGCAAGAAAACGUUUCUGAGGUGCCUGCACUAGCUAGAGAAGAACUUCAAGAUGAUGAUCAUGAAGCUUCAGAUCAAGUUGCUAUUGAACCUCGAAGGUCGACAAGGGUACGUACCGCACCUGAGUGGUAUGACAAUCCUGUCAUGGAAAUCUUGUUGUUAGACAACGGAGAACCUUCGAACUAUGAAGAAGGGAUGGCGGGCCCGGAUUCCAACAAAUGGCUUGAGGCCAUGAAAUCCGAGAUAGGAUCCAUGUAUGUGAACAAAGUAUGGACUUUGGUGGACUUUCCCGAUGAUCGACGAGCCAUAGAAAAUAAAUGGAUUUUCAAGAAGAAGACGGACGUUGAUGGUAAUGUGACCAUCUAUAAGGCUCGACUUGUCGCUAAGGGUUAUCUACAAGUUCAAGGAGUUGAGUACGAUGAGACUUUCUCACCUGUAGCGAUGUUGAAGUCUGUCCGAAUCAUGUUAGCAAUUACCGCGUUUUAUGAUUAUGAAAUCUGGCAAAUGGACGUCAAAACGGCAUUCCUUAAUACUUUCCUUAAGGAAGAAUUGUAUAUGAUGCAGCCGGAAGGUUUUGUCGAUCCUAAAGGUGCUAACAAGGUCUGCAGGCUCGAACACUACAUCUAUGGGCUGGUGCAAGCAUCUCGGAGUUGGAACAUUCACUUUAAUGAGGUGAUUAAAGCGUUUGGGUUUAUACAGACUUAUGGAGAAGCGUGUAUUUUGAAGAAAGUGAGUGGGAGCUGUGUAGCAUUUCUCAUAUUAUAUGUGGAUGACAUAUUGUUGAUGGGAAAGAAUAUAGAACUCUUGGAAAACAUAAAGGUCUAUUUGAAUAAUAGUUUUUCUAUGAAGGACCUUGGAGAAGCUGCAUACACAUUAGGCAUUAAGAACUAUAGAGAUAGAACAAAACGCCUCAUAGGUCUUUCACAAAGUACAUACUUUGACAAGAUAUUGAAGAAGUUAAAUACGGAUAAGGCGAAGAAGGGGUUCUUGCCUGUAUUGCAAGGUGUGAGAUUGAGUAAGACUCAAUCACCGACCAAGGCAGAAUAUAGAGAAAACAUGAGUACCAUCCCCUAUGCUUCAGCCAUAGGCUCUAUUAUAUAUGCCAUGCUGUGUACCAGACCUGAUGUGAACCUUGCCAUAAGUUUGGUAGGGAGGUUCCAAAGUGAUCCCGGUAUGGAACACUGGACAGCGGUCAAGAAUAUCCUUAAAUACCUGAAAAGGACUAAGGAUAUGUUUCUCGUGUAUGGAGGUGCCGAAGAGCUCGUCGUAAAGGGUUACGCCGAUGCUAGAUUCGACACAGAUCCGGACGACUCUAAGUCACAAACCGGAUACAUGUAUGUUCUGAAUGGUGAGGCAGUAAGCUGGUGCAGUUGCAAGCAAAGCGUCGUGGCGGCAUCUACAUGUGUAGCGGAGUACAUAGCUCCUUCGGAAGCAUCUCAAGAAGGGAUCUGGAUGAAGUUGUUCAUCAUUCACCUUGGAGUGAUUCCAAAUGCAUCAGGCCCAAUGACCCUCUUCUGUGACAACAGUAGAGCUAUUGCCAUAGCCAAGGAGCCGAGGUUUCGCAGGAAGACCAAGCACAUCAAGCGCUGCUUCAACUCCAUCCAUGAUUACAUUCAAGAAGGAGACAUAGAUAUUUGUAAAGUACAUAUAUAUGGAUCUGAAUGUCGCCGAUACAUUGACUAAACCUCUUCCACGGGAAAAACAUGAUCAGCCCCAGAACUCUAUGGGUGUUCGAUUCAUCACAAUGUAACUAGAUUAUUGACUCUAGUGCAAGUGGGAGACUGUUGGAAAUAUGCCCUAGAGGCAAUAAUAAAGUGGUUAUUAUUAUAUUUCCAGUUCAUGAUAACUGUCUAUUAUUCAUGCUAUAAGUGUAUUAUCCGGAAACAAUAUUACAUGUGUGAAUACAUAGAUCACAAUGUGUCCCUAGUGAGCCUCUAGUUGGCUAGCUCAUUGAUCAAUGGAUGAUCAUGGUUUACUAAUCAUGGACAUUGGAUGUCAUUGAUAACAAGAUCACAUCAUUGGUUGAAUGAUGUGAUGGACAAGACCCAAUCCUAAGCAUAACACUAGAUCGUGUUGUUCGUAUGCUAAAGCUUUUCUAAUGUCAAGUAGCGUUUCCUUCGACCAUGAGAUUGUACAACUCCCGGAUACCGUAGGACUGCUUUGGGUGUAUCAAAUGUCACAACGUAACUGGGUGACUAUAAAGGUGCACUACGGGUAUCUCCGAAAGUACCUAUUGGAUUGGUAUGAAUCGAGACCGGGAUUUGUCACUCCAUAUGAUGGAGAGGUCUCUCUGUGCCCACUCGGUAGAACAUCAUCAUAAUGUGCUCAAUGUGACUAAGGAGUUAGCCACGGGAUGAUGUGCUAUGGAACGAGUAAAGAGACUUGGCGGUAAUGAGAUUGAACAAGGUAUGGGCAUACCGACGAUCGAAUCUCGGGCAAGUAUCAUACCGAUAAACAAAGGGAAUUCCAUACGGGAUUGAUUGAAUCCUUGACAUCGUAGUUCAUCUAAUGAGAUCAUCGUGGAACAUGUGGGAACCAACAUGGAUAUCCAGACCACGCUGUUGGUUAUUGACCGGAGAGUGUCUUGGUCAUGUGUGCAUGCUUCCCGAACCCGAAGGGUCUACCCACUUAAGGUUCGAUGACGCUAGGGUUAUAUGGGAAUAGUGUACGAAAUUACCGAAGGUUGUUCGGAGUCCCGGAUGAGAUCCCGGACGUCGCGAGGAGCUCCCGUAAUGUACCGGGACCACCGGAAAUGAAGAUUGAUAUAUAGGAUGAGGGGUUUGGACACCGGAAAUGUUUUGGGCGUCACCGGUAACAUACCGGGACCACCGGAAAGGUUCCGAGGGUCUACCGGGAGGGGCCACCAGCCCCAAAGGGUGACAUGGGACAAAAGGUGGAGGGGAACCAGCCCAGAGUGGGCUGGUGCGCCUCCCACCAAGGCCCAAGUUGCAAGUUGAGAGGCAAGGGAGGGACCCUAAAGCAGAUGGGCCCAAGGCCCAUCUGGGCUGUACCACACCCCGUCCUCCUUUCCUGGCCGCCACAACCAUCACUAGAUGGGGUUGCCGCACCCCUUGGGGGUGGGAACCCAAAGGAGGGCACCCCCUUCCCUCUCUCCCUAUGUAUAGUGGAGGGUUUUGGCCUUUGGAGGAGAUACAGAAAUAGUUUCCUCCCUCUCCAUGCAGCCGAGUUCUUCCUCCUCUUCCGCACAGCUUGGAGAAGCUCCGAUGGAAUCCCUCGUAGCUCCACCUCCACCGCAUCGUCACGCUGCCGGAGCUCUCCCUCAACCUAUCCCUCCUCCUUGCUGGAUCAAGGUGCGGGAGACGUCCUCGGGCUGUACGUGUGUUGAACGCGAAGGUGCCGUCGUUCAGCACAUAGACCAAAAUCACACAGCGAUCUGAAUCGCUGCGAGUACGACUCCAUCAACCGUGUGCCAAUAACACUUCCGUUAGGAAUCUUCACAGGUAUGAAGAUGCUCUACCCCAUUACUCGUUGCGGAUUUCUCCAUAGAUAGAUCCUUGUUUGGGGUAGGAAUUUUUUUGAAAUUACUACGAUCCCCAACAUUAUCAAUCCAUGGGAGGUGUAGAAUUAAGAUGGUCUAUAUCAAGCAACCGUGCAAUCAAAUGCACGAAAUCUCUUGUGUCCCCAACACACCCAAUACAAUAGAAAAUUGUACGGGUGCACUAGUUCGGUGAAGAGAUGGUGAUACAAGUGUAGUACGGAUAGUAGAUAUAGGUUUUUGUAAUCUGAAAUUUGAAAACAGCAAGGUAGCAAGUGGCAAAUAGUGAGCGAAACAUUAUAGUAAUGCCUAUGGUUCAUACUUUCACUAGUGCAAUCUCUCAACAAUGCUAAAAGAGUAGGAUCUUAUGAUCACCCCUCAAGGUGCAACAAAGAAUCACUCCAAAUUCAUAAGUAGGAGAGAACAUAAGAUGAAAUUGGUUUAGCUAGGAGAGAUUUGCUGCCGUCGACGUGAGGCUUCCCCCGAAGUCCAAUCCCUCUCCAUUAGGCAGGCGAGUAAAUGGUGAGUGCACCCACACCCCAAGCUCGCUCUCCCCUCCCUCCUAGCGUCGUCGGCGAUCGCCGGAUGCAUCUCGCGUCGGUGGAGCAUUCGAACCUGACAGGGGGACCCCCUCUGUCAGUGUCUCUCUCUCCCUCCAAAGCAUUUCGAUGGAAACGUAUUCAGCCAGUAGCCGUUUUACUUUCAGGGAAAAGUCUUUCUCUUCUAGCAUUUUGACUAAAUCUCAGUCUAGCCCUUGUUUCUAUUAAAACUAAUUACAGAAUAGUCCCUGAUACAGUUUUGGCUAUAACUUUUGAUCCAUAACUUAUUCUUCAGUGAUUCUUUUUGCAAAUUGUUCCUGGUAAUGCCUAGUUUAUUUUUAGAGUUUUCUAAAAAUAUUUUAAGACCAGUAGCUAGGCAGUACCACUUAUACCCUUGUUUGAUAUAUACCGUAGAUCCCGACACCGAAAUUCCCGACGUCAACUAUACCGAGCUUGAUCCUGACUAACCCAUGUUUGUUACUUUUGGUGUGUUGUUUGCUAACUUAACAAAUAUUUAUUAAUCAUCAGCUUGCAUAUUUCAUAACUUCUAUACAUAUUCAACCAUGAUAAAAAUAUGAUGUUGGCAAGUUAUAGUUAUGAAAGGUUGUGGAAUAGCCUAGUCACGCGGAACGUGAUAGGAUAUGGCCUUGUCAUGGCAUGAGCACAAUGGUGUUGGUAUAAAAUUGUUAAACUCCAGUAUCGACCUAGAUCGAGUCUUGUCAGUGUCAUACUUCUUAUCGUGCUACCACAAUUCCCUAGAUAAUGGGUUUGGUAUAGUCAGUUGUAGAACUAUUAUCAGUCACACACCAUUAGAGGGGCCGGUAUGAAGGUAUCCAUGGCCCUGGACUAAAUCCAGUCAUCCAGUCUCGGGUCAUGGGUGUUUCCGGUCUGGGACCGGAAGGGAGGGCACUCCUGUGAGUGCGUGGUAUAAAUAUUUUGAUCCCAUGCUAAUCGAGGUCGGAGCCUCCCCGUCUUAUGGUUUUACCUUGGCAGCGUAGUCCGGGUGAAUCCGGGCAUCGCGGAGGUAAAGUGCGUGUGUGCUGAUUCUGAGUGUCCACUUCUAAAAUGUCGUACGCGGGAUUAGUCAUAUUGGCUAUUGAAAACCGUGGGCUAUGGGUAAAGAGUACACCCUCUGCAGAGUCAAAACUAUUCGAGUAGCCGUGUCCCGGGUCAAGGACGUUGUUUGACGAGUCAAGUGUCGGUCCUAGAGUCGGUCUUUGGAGUAUAAGUGGUAUUAAUAAUAAUGGAUGUGGUGAACCAUAUGAUGAUGUCGGACAUUAUCAUAUCAUGUAUUAUUACUCUGGACUAACCCUUAUGAUUUGGUUGUUGGAUAUCCUUGGGACGGUUCUACCUCAUGGAUAUUCAAUAUUUAUUUUAUUAUUUCUUAUAGGACCUUUAUUUGGUGUCGCUGAGACGCCCGACUGUGGCAUUGUUUUAUUAUUUCUUAUAAGCCCUUUAGGUGGUGUCGCUGAGACGCCCGACUGUGACAUUGUUUUAUUAUUUCUUAUAAGCCCUUUAUGUGUUGUCGCUGAGACGCCCGACUGCGGCACGCUGUUUUAUUUUAUUAUUGCCCUUACCGUGGUGUCGCAAAGACGCCCAUUCGAGGCUUAUUAUUUAUUUCAUACCGUGUGUGAGGUUUCGCUCAGACGCCCAACGGUGGUUUAUUUUAAUUUUCCGUUACGAAUAUCUUGGGAUGACUACCGCCUGAUUUAUCCACUAAGUUAUUUACUUUUUGCACUUAUAUUGUGGAUAUAACUUGACUCUAUCCAAGCAUAGAUAAAAUCAACUGCAUGCAUCUCAGCUUUUGUGCAAACUGUUUGCGAGUACUUCUUCGAGUAUUGACUGGCUUGUUGUUGUGGCCAGAUAUGGAUGAAGGACACCUCAUGAAUGAAGAGUUCGACGACAAGUCCGAUGUCUAGAGGAGUCCCAGUCAGUCUUGCGAUCCUGGAGUCCGUCCAUGUUUUAUUCCACCGCAUCCGCCACCUCGAAUAAAUUGUUGAGCUUCACUCUGAGGCUUAACGCGCUGUAGUACUCGUCAUGUCACAUUACUCUGAUGUGACGUGUCCCCUUUAUUUUCGCGAGCAGUAGAGUCACCCUAAGACCACUAUAACAUUUCCAUCUAUUCUAAGACUUGGAUAUGUUGUAAUAAUUUGUAGAGCGACCCUCGCUCUACCUGUAUUAUAUUAAGUACUACUGGUUUUCUGCAUCAAGUUGAGUCUAUCAGUGGGAAAUAUUGUCUUCACUAUGGACACACAUGGCUGAUUUCCAAUUAAAUCAUUUAUUUGGAAACGGUCGUGACAAACUUGGUACCAGAGCCAGGUUCUGACCGUAGGAAACCCAUAGGUACGAUGGCUGACCGGUUUAGUCAUUUUAUUUCCUGCUGGUGUUAGCAAUUUUGUGUUAGUCAACAUAUAUUUAUGUUUUGACUAUAUGAAAUUUUUUGUUUUGUAGAUGGCUGGCAACGGUUGCCCGUCGUAGGUGUUCGCCAACGAGCCAACGGGAUUUUCACGACUGCUUUUAGCCAUCGUGAAGAUCGCGAUUGGGCCGACAGUCCGCACCGAGUACUCGUUUUACCGCCACAAGAUUAGCGACUCCUUGACUAUGCAUCAGGCGUCGGUGCAUAUUAUUGGUGGUCGACCAGAGUAUCGUCACCUUCGCCUCGUUGGGAUAGCCAUGCCUACAGAGAGGUAGGCUACUCAAAUGGCAGCCAGGGAGGCAAUUCCUCAUCUCGAGGACACUCUUCCAGCAAUGAAGACUCGUCUUUAUUAUUAUCUACCAUGCCAUGUGUCGUACACCAGCCACUAUGCCUUUGCAUGCCCAGAGGAGAGGAAGAUGAAGCUCUUGGGAUGCUCGUGCAGUAUGUCCGAGCCCUCGAGUCAGCUUUUGAUGGCUUAGUGGAUGACUUGGUGGCUGCUCGCAUGGAGCACCUUACUCGUCCUCACCAUAGGACUGAGCUCCUUCAUCCAGCACCACCGAGGUCAUGCCCGUCUUCUUCUGCCUCAUGCACCCCACCAGCACAGCUCUGCCACCAGCUGCCUACCAUUGAGGAGUUCAAUCAAGUUAUUGCUCCUGCCCCCAUUAGAGCUGCUUUGCCUGUCAGUCAUGUGCACGCCUCGCCGUCUCGCGCAGUCCGCUUAGAGCCAAUAGAGGAGGAAGUGAACUCCCCAGCUCCUCAUCAGGGACUUUCUCUGGGUUAGCCAAUCCAGGUUCCUUCUAACUCCCCCUAGAGAUGGUGAAGCAGAUCGCUAGUACGCCUGUAUGAUAUGUAUGAUAUGGAUGAUGUUGUGCUCCUAGACCGAAGGAAGUAGUGUGUUGCAUCAUGUAGGCCAGGAGAAGUGCACUAGCUUAAAUAACAAGUCAGGCAUACUAGAGUACGACUUGAGUGGUAUGUAUAAUUAUGAUCGAUGUAAGACGUAUCGCGGUCCUUCUCCGAACAUGACGAUUAUGUUAUGAAAAAUCUUGAAGUGUUUCCUUGGAAAAUAUUUCUGAAUUCUUUUCAUUCGAGUUCCAUUUUCUUAUUGGUUCUUGCAACAUUAACCCAGCUUUGAUAAAAUGAGCCAACCCUAGACACGCUCCAUGCCAAGGGACGAUGGCGUAAAUCAAUCCACUGAGACAGGGAACAACUUCACUCAAGGCCAGUCUAGCCAGCAUGAAAGCAGCCCAACACUUUCAGAAGUUUGUCGUUUAUAUGAGCAGAGCCAACAACAGCAGCAUGAAAUGAUGAAUCAACUAAUGAACAUGGGAAAUCAGCGUGGUCCACAUCCACAACACUCCCGACUGGCUGAACUACAAAAGACACGUCCGCCAACAUUUUCGCAUACACAUAAACCAACGGAAGCAGAUGAUUGGCUACGUGACAUUGAAAGAAAGAUGAUGAUUGCACAGUGUUCAGAUCAUGAGAAAGUAUUGUACGCUCCCCACUAUUUAACUGGAGCCGCAACCUCGUGAUGGGAAAAUAUCCUCCGCGUGCAUCCAGACGAGAACAGUAUCACAUGGGCUGAAUUCAAGGAAAGUUUCCGUGGAGUGCACAUACCCAACAGUGUCAUGAAAAUAAAGAAGAAAGAAUUCGAAGACCUGAAGCAACGAAGUUCCAGCGUGAUGGAAUACCUGGAUCAGUAUAAUCAACUGUCCUGAUAUGCAAGUGAAGACUACAAGACUGAGGAAAGAAGGAUGGAGAAGUUCCUGGAUGGAAUUUCUCCAGCAUUGAAGUGCCAACUAGUCGUUCACAUGUUUCCAGAUUUUAAUACACUGGUAGACAAAGCCAUUAUGCUAGAAGCUGAACGUCGCAGCCUGGAUGACAUCCACAAAUGCCGUCGUAAUAAUUCUACCCUAGUACGCAACACCAGACACAAGACAGAGGACUCAAAGACUCAAGCUCCGGGUACCUCAGCACUAACCACUAAAUUCAACAACAACUCAUACGUGAGGAACAAAGAUUUUACUCCCUGUACUAGUAUCACUUGUUUUGCAUGUGGAGAAACGGGACACUACGCUCGGCAAUGCCCAAAGGCCAGAAAUGGUGCAGCCAAGACAAACACUUCCAACUUUGACUCAGCACCAAAGCGCAACAUCUUCAACCCCAAUAACAAUCACAAGAAGGGUCACGUGAAUCUUGUCGCCAAGGAAGAUGCCAUGAAAGCACCUGAUAUUGUACUCGGUAAGUUUCCUGUCAACAAAAUUCCUGCCCUGGUUUUGUUUGAUUCUGGAGCUUCCCACUCAUUCAUUUUGAAAAAUAUUUGUUUCAAAACAUAACUUUUCACCCCCCUUGGAAAACUCAAUGACUAUCAAGUCCCUGGGAGUACAGCAGACUACUCAAGAAUAUUGCAAGAAUGUUACAAUUGAAGUCAAAGAUUUGGUGUUUUGGGCAAAUCUUAUUGUUAUCGAAGGCAACACAGUGGAUAUUACUUUGGGAGUGGACUGGCUAAAUAGCAGCAAGGGAUUCAUUGACUGCUUUAAUCGGACUGUCUCCCUCACUCAUCACCAAGGUAAAAAGGUAACUGUCGCAGCCCUACGAAAGGAAAAAUCAAGCAAAGCAAGGUUAAACCAGACAGAAGCCAGUGAAUUGGAAGACAUUCGAGUAGUAUGUGAAUUUCGAGAUGUAUUUCCUGAUGAGCUACCAGGUAUGCUGCGAGACCGAGCAAUAGAAUUUGUCAUCGAGCUUGCACCCGGUACAACCCCAAUAUAUAAUAAGCCGUACCGCAUGGCACGAACUGAGUUAGUCAAGCUCAAGAAACAGAUAAAGGAGCUAUUGGACAAAGGAUACAUCAGACCUAGCUCUUCACCUUGGGGAUCACCAGUACUGUUUGCUAAGAAGAGAGAUGGAACGCUAAGGCUAUGCAUUGAUUAUAGAGCACUCAACAUGGCCACUAUCAAAAAAAAGUACCCACUACCCAGAAUAAAUGAUUUAUUCGAUCAAUUAGGGCAGGCUAAGGUAUUCUCAAAGAUCGAUUUGAGGUCAGGAUAUCAUCAGCUCAACAUCUGCCCAGAAGACAUUCCAAAGACAGCCUUUACCUCAAGAUACGGACUGUACGAAUUUACAGUAAUGUGUUUCGGGUUAACCAAUGCACCAGCUUACUUCGUGCAUCUGAUGAAUAAAGUAUUCAUGAAAUAUAUGGAUAAGUUCGUCGUAGUCUUCAUCGACGACAUACUUGUCUACUCCAAAAAUCCCAAAGAGCACGCGGAACACCUAAGGAUUGUAUUGGGAGAACUCCACAAGCAUCAACUAUACGCAAAAUUCAGCAAAUGCGAGUUUUGGCUCAAACAGGUCGGAUUUUUGGGACACGCGAUGACACAAGAAGGCAUAGCCGUGGAUCCAGAAAAAGUCAAGGCCGUAAGCGAAUGGCCGCAAGGAGCUAAUGUGACAGACAUCCAGAGUUUCCUCGGAUUAGCAGGAUAUUACCGGAGGUUCAUUGAAAUUUGUCUACUAUUGCUCGACCUAUGACCCAGUUACUCAAGAAAGAAAAGAAAUUUGAAUGGACCGAAGCUUGUGAGAAAAGUUUCCAGGAAUUGAAGAAAAGGUUGACUACAGCCCUAGUACUAAUUGUGCCCGACUUAAACAAGGAUUUUGAAAUAUACUAUGAUGCCUCCAGAAAAGGCCUCGGAUGCGUACUCAUGCAAGAAAGAAAGGUAGUGGCUUAUGCCUCACGACGACUCCGACGUCACGAAGAGAACUACCCUACUCACGAUUUGGAGUUGGCCGUUGUGAUUCAUGCUCUCAAGGAAUGUAGACACUUUCUUCUUGGUAAUCGUUGUCAAAUAUACAUGGAUCAUAAGAGCCUCAAGUAUAUUUUCACACAACCAGAUCUCAACCUACGACAACGACGAUGGUUAGAAUUAAUUAAGGAUUAUGAUGUGGGCAUUCAUUACCACCCGGGUAAGGCUAACAUAGUAGUAGAUGCUCUUAGUCGAAACCCUGCCUCAGGCAAGAAACCCAUACCAAAGAUGAGACCUGAGUUUGCAAAAGAGUUCGCUCUACUAAACCUGCUCCUCGUUCUACAACGUACAGUGGCACAACUUGAAUUACAACUCACCUUGGACGGGAAUAUCAGGGAAGCUCAGAAAGGUCACCCAACAUUGAGGUCAUAAAGAAAAAGAUGGACCUCGGAAAGGCCCCCGAGUGUAUUAUUGAUGAGCCAGGAUUCUAUGUUACAGAUACCGACUAUGCGUACUAGACCAAGAGAACCUCAAAACUCAAAUCAUGGAAGAAUACCACAAUGUGCCCUAUUCUAUUCACCCCGGAGGCACAAAGAUGUUCAAGGACCUCCAGGAGAAAUAUUGGUGGCACGGAAUGAAGAGAGAUAUUGCCUCCUUCAUCGCUCGUUGUGACUCGUGUCAACGAAUCAAGGCAGAACAUCAGAAGCCAGCAGGGCUGCUACAACCUAUGAAGGUACCUGAAUGGAAAUGGGAUGAGGUAGGAAUGGAUUUUAUAGUCGGACUACCCCGGUCCCGACACGGACAUGAUGCUAUAUGGGUGAUUACUGAUCGACUCACAAAAGUGGCUCACUUCAUACCAGUCAAGACCACAUGCUCCACCUAGAAGCUAGGAAGACUAUACCUCGCCCGCAUUGUGUGUCUACACGGAGUACCCAAGACUAUCGUAUCCGAUAGAUACACCCAGUUUACCUCAAGAUUUUGGGAUUAUCUGCAAAAAGCAUUGGGAACACCGGUAGUAUUCAGCACAGCCUAUCACCCUCAGACAGGAGGACAAACCGAACGUAUAAACCAGAUCCUUGAAGACAUGCUCAGAGCUUGUGUACUCACAUAUGGGAACAGUUGGGAAGACAGUUUUCCCUACGCCAAGUUUUCUUACAACAACGGUUAUCAAGCAAGUUUGGAGAUGUCGCCUUUCGAAGCUUUAUAUGGAAGACGAUGUCGUACCCCUCUAAGUUGGUCAGAGACAGGAGAUAGGCACAUCUUCGGAACACAUUUUCUCCAGGAGGUCGAGGGCAAGGUGAAAGUCAUAAGAGAGAAACUUAAGAUAGCACAAAGCCGUUAGAAAAACUACUACGAUCAAAAACACCGGGAUGUCGGUUUCAACCCCAAUGAUUAUGUAUAUCUUAAGGUAUCACCCAUGAGAGGACUACAGAGAUUCAAAGUCAAAGGAAAGCUUGCACCUCGUUUCAUCGGACCGUUUCGCAUAAUUGUUCGUAACGGACAAGUUGCCUAUCAGCCAGACCUACCAGCAGAAUUGUCAGAUGUGCAUGAUGUGUUCCACAUCUCUCAGCUAAGGAAGUGUGUAAGGAACCCCGAGCAACAAGUAGCUCAUGACAACAUAGAAGUGCAACCAGACGUAUCCUAUCAGAAACACCCCGUGAAGAUAUUAGAGGAAUCAGAUAGAAGGACUCGACAGAAGGUCACCAAGCUAUUCAGAGUACAAUGGAGCAACCACUCAGAGCAUGAGGCCACAUGGGGAAGAGAGGAUUACCUGCAGAAAGAGCAACCACAACUUCUUGAGGAACGGCUUAAAUCUCGGGGACGAGAUUUUUCAUAAGGGGAUAGGUGUUGUAACACCCAAGAUUUUUCAAGUUUUAUUUCCUUGAUUUCCAUGGAAUUUAAAAAAUUUGCUUGACAAGAACUUUGAAGUUUUCUUGCUAAUCUCCAUGAGAGAAAACUUUUGAGCUUCUUCUCCACCAAACAAAUUCAGAAAUAUCCCCUUGGCGCUUUCUCAAAAAUAAAAUGGUUAAAGGAAUAUUUCUUUUACUCUCAAUUUGGAUUUCUUUUAUUAUUAAUUUGGAUUUUUCCAUAAGCCUAUUUAUUAAUUCUUGAAAAAGAAUUAAUCACCACAUUCUAUUUUAAAUAUUUUUACUCCUCUCCUAGCCCUAAGAUUUGUUUUUGAAUGUUUUCCAAAGAUUUAGAAGGGAUGGAUCACCCCAAUUAUUUUUAUUAUUAAAAUGGGAAUUUCUAUAAUCAGUUUGAGCUCCAAAUAUUUUUCAAAGGAACCUUCUUUUUCCUUUGGAAUCUUGACCCCAAACUCUGGCAGUUUGUAAUCCUUAGUAUCCUUAAUCUAUUCCAGCAAAAACUUUGGGUUCUCAAGUUUGAAAAAUUCAAAUUUGGUUUGACUCAAGUUUGACCCGAGAAACUCAUUUUUGAUUCAAACCUGCCUUAAACUCCACCAAAAAUUCUGAUAUUUUUUGCAGCAUCAUUUCUUCCAAUGAGAGUGCUCCCCUCAAAAAUUCAGCUUCAAAUGAUUUUUAUAGCUUUGGUUUUCUUUGUGUCAAGCACCUCUCCUGCACCCUUACUGAAGCUGUGUGAAUUAAAUUCAAACGAAACUUCAGACACAGCUCAACUCCCUCCCCCUUCGUCAAUCUCAACUGUAGUAGCACAAUGGUCGUUGCUCCUGUGCCUUGAUCCUAUCCGCAGUGACGCCUGCAGCUUGGCCUCUUCCCCUCGUCGGUAGCUCACCGACAAAGCCGGCCAAAGCUCUGGCAGCGGCUCUGCAGCAGCCGCAGCAGCUCCCUGCUUCGAUCCCGCGCCGCCUGAUGACCGACAAGUAUAGGGGAUCAAUCGUAGUCCUUUCGAUAAGUAAGAGUGUCGAACCCAACGAGGAGGAGAAGGAUCUGACAAGUGGUUUUCAGCAAGGUAAAAUCAGCACGCACUGAAAUUGUCGGUAACAAGUGAUUGUGUGGUGAGAUGAUUCGUAGCAAGCAACAAGUAACAAAAGUAGCAACGGUGCAGCAAAGUAGCCCAAUCCCUUUUGUAGCAAGGGACAAGCCUGGAAAAAGUCUUAUAGGAGGAAAAACGCUACCGAGGACACACGGGAAUUUAUGUCAUGCCAAUUUUCAUCAUGUUCAUAUGAUUCGCGUUCGUUACUUUGAUAGUUUGAUAUGUGGGUGGACCAGCGCUUGGGUACUGCCCUUACUUGGACAAGCAUCCCACUUAUGAUUAACCCCUCUCGCAAGCAUGCACAACUACGAAAGAAGAAUUAAGACAAAGUCUAACCAUAGCAUUAAAUUAGUGGAUCCAAACCCCUUACGAAGCAACGCAUAAACUAGGGUUUAAGCUUCUGUCACUCUAACAACCCAUCAUCUACUUACUACUUCCCAAUGCCUUCCUCUAGGCCGAAAUAAUGGUGAAGUGUUAUGUAGUCGACGUUCACAUAACACCACUAGAGGAAAAAACAACAUACAACACAUCAAAUUACCGAACGAAUACCAAAUUCACAUGAAUACUAUUAGCAUGACUUAUCCCAUGUCCUUGGGAACAAAAGUAACUACUCACAAAGCAUAAUCAUAUUCAUGAUCAGAGAGAUAAUGAGUAGCAUCAAGGAUCUGAACAUAAACUAUUCCACCAAAUAAUCCAACUAGCAUCAACUACAAAGAGUAAUCAACACUACUAGCAACCUUACAAGUACCAAUCGGAGUCGCGAGACAGAGAUUGGUUACAAGUGAUGAACUAGGGUUUGGAGAUGAGAUGGUGCUGAUGAAGAUGUUUAUGGUGAUGUGUGCCGUCCGAUGAAAGGAGUGUUGGUGAUGACGAUGGUGACGAUUUCCCCCUUUGGGAGGGAAGUUUCCCCGGCAGGAUCGUCCUGCCGGAGCUCUAGAUUGGUUCUGCCUCAAGUUCCGCCGCAUGGCGGCGGCGAAACCAUGAAAAAGCCCCUCCUUGAUUUUUUUCCUGGACGAAACCCUUCAUAUAGCAAAAGGGGGGGGCAAGUGGGCCAGCAAGGUGCCCACAAGCCCCCAUGGCACGACCUGGGGGGGUGGCCGUGUCGUGCAGGCUUGUGGCCACCCUCUGGCGCCCCUCUGGUGCUUCUUCGGCCCAGUACUUUUGAUAAAUCGGGAAAAAAAAUCCUCGUUUAUUUUUACGGCGUUUGGAGUUGCGCAUAAUAGGUAUCUCAACUUUGCUCCACUUUCAGGCCAGAAUUCUAGUUGUCGACAUUCUCCCUCUUCAUGUAAACCUUGCAAAAUAAGAGAGAAAAGGCAUAAGAAUAGUACCAUCAAGUGAAAUAAUAGCCAAAGAAGCGAUAAAUAACAACAUGAAAACAUGAUGCAAAAUGGACGUAUCACCGCCCGACACCGCCCCUUGCUCCUGGUGCCGCCGCGUGCCUCUCCUCGACAGUGUACUCCGCGAAGGCCAUCACCACGCACCGUGCAGCUCACAGCAUGGGUUCGGCAGCCAUAGUGUGAAGCAAUGGCCACGUCGUCGCCGCGUUUCCACGGUCGAUGACCAGCCUCUCUCUGGCCAAAAAUGGAGCCCCACUGGUGAUUAGGUUCGUUUUUAGCCAUCUAACCUUCUACUCAAGCUCCUGCAUCACCAGAAUUGCUCCCCUAAGUUAAUGUCGUAGCUCGUCUCACGGCGCCUAUAGAUAGAGCUCCCCUCCAGUGCUUCUGACCUCCCGAAGCUCUUCCCCUCUCUCCAUCUCCACCUCUAGGAACCAGCCGAUCCAGGAAGGGGUCCUCGAGGUGCCUUCUUCCCCAGCUCUGGCCGCCCCAAUCAACUUCGGGAUCUGGCCACUCCCAUGCAGUGUAAGUAGAGGUAGGACACCCCGAGGCAUUCGUUUGCAUCCAGGAACUCCUCCCCUGCUUACCCCGUGCUCAAUUUCAUCGUAGAGGCUCUCUGUCGUCAAUCUCCUCGCAUCACCGGAGUUGCUGCCAUCGGAGAUCUGUUGUCGUCGACGUGAGGAUUCCCCCGCAGUCCAAUCCCUCUCCAUCAAUCAAGCGAGUCAACGGUAAGUGCACCCGCACCCCCAGCUGGAUCUACCCUCCCUCCUAGCAUCGUUGGCGAUCGCCGGAUGCUUCUCGCGCCGGUGCAGCAUUCGAACCUGACAGGGGGACCCCCUCUGUCAGUCUCUCUCUCUCCCUCCAAAGCGUUUUGAUGGAAACAUAUUCCGCGAGUAGCCGUUUUCAUUUCGGGGAAACGUCUUUCCCUUCGGGCGUUUUGACUAAAUCUCGGUCUAGCCCCUGUUUCUAUUAAAAUUAAUUACAGAAUAGUCCCGCAUACUAUUUUGGCUAUAACAUUUGAUCCAUAACUUAUUUUUCAGUGAUUCUUUUUGCAAAUUGUUCCUGGUAAUGCCUAGUUUAUUUUUAGUUUUUUCUAAAAAUAAUGUAAGACCAGUAGCUAGGCAGUACCACUUAUACCCUUGUUUGAUCUAUACCGUAGAUUCCGACACCGAAAUUCCCGACGUCAACUGCACCGAGCUUGAUCCCGACUACGUGGAACCAGGCAAGCAUGUUUGUUACUUUUGGUGUAUUGUUUGCUAACUUAACUCAUAUUUAUUAAUCAUCACCUUGCAUAUUUCAUAACUUCUAUACAUAUUCAACCAUGAUAAAAAUAUGAUGUUGGCAAGUGAUAGUUAUGAAAGGUUGUGGAAUAGCCUAGUCACGCGGAGAGUGAUAGGUAAUAGCCUUGUCAUGGCAUGCACACAAUGGUGCUGGUAUAAAAUUGUUAAACUCCAGUAUCGACCUAAAUCGAGUCUUGUAUGUGUGAUACUUCUUAUCGUGCUACCACAGUUCCCUAUAUAAUGCGUUCGGCAUUGUCAGUUGUGGACCUAUUAUCAGUGACACACCAUUAGAGGGGCCGGUAUGAAGGUAUCCAUGGCCCUGGACUAAAUCUAGUCAUCUGAUAAGGUGGCAUGGGUGUUUCCGAUCUUGUACCGGAAGGGAGGGCACUCCCGUGAGCGUGCGUGUAAAUAUUUUGAUCCCAUGCUAAUCGAGGUCGGAGCCUCCCCGUGUUAUGGUUUUACCUUGGGAGCGUAGUCUGACUGAAUCCGAGGUUUGCGCAGGUAAAGUGGGUGUGUGCUGAUUAUGAGCGUCCACUUCUAAAAUGUCGUACGCAUGAUUACUCAUAUUGGCUAUUGAAAACCUUGGGCUAUCGGUAAAGAGUACACCCUCUGCAGAGUCAAAACUAUUCGAGUAGCCGUGUCCCCGGUCAAGGAUGUUGUUUGACGAGUCAAGUGUCGGUCCUAGAGUCGGUCUUUGGAGUAUAAGUGGUAUUAAUAAUAAGGGAUGUGGUGAACCAUAUGAUGAUGUGGGACAUUAUCAUAUCAUGUAUUAUUACUCUAGAGUAACCCUUAUGAUUUUGUUGUUGGAUAUCCUUGGGAUGGUUCUACCAACUGGAUAUUCAAUUUUUAUUUUCUUAUUUCUUAUAAGACCUUUAUGAGGUGUCGCUGAGACGCCCGAAUGUGGCGUUGUUUUAUUAUUUCUUAUAAGCCCUUUAUGUGGUGUCAUGAGACGCCCGACUGUGGCAUUGUUUUAUUAUUCCUUAUAAGCCUUUUAAGUGGUGUCGCUGAGACGCCCGACUGUGCCAUUGUUCUAUUAUUUAUUUUAAGCCCUUUAUGUGGUGUCGCUGAGAAGCCCCACUGCGGCACGCUGUUUUAUUUUAUUAUUGCCCUUACUGUGGUGUCGCAUAGACGGCCGUUCGAGACUUAUUAUUUAUUGCAUACCCUGUGUGAGGUGUCGCUCAGAUGCCCCAUGGUGGUUUAUUUUAUUUUUCCAUUACGGAUAUAUCGAGAGGACUACUGCCUGAUUUACCCACUAAUUUAUUUACUUUCUGCACUUAUAUUGUGGAUAUAACUUGACUCUAACCAUGCAUAAAUAAAAUCAACUGCAUGCAUCUCAUCUUUUGUGCAAACUGUAUGCGAGUACUUCUCGGAGUACUCACUGGCUUGUUGUUGUGGCGAGAUAUGGAUGAAUGAGACCUCAUGAAUGAAGAGUUCGAUAGCGAGUCCGAUGUCUAGAGGAGUCCCAGACAGUCUUGCGAUCCUGGAGUCCAUCGUAGUUUUAUUCCACCAUUUCCGCCACCUCAAAUUAAUCAUUGAGCUUCACUAUGAGGCUUAACGUGUAGUAGUACUCGUCAUGUCACAUUACUCUAAUGUGACAUGCCCCCUUUAUUAUCGUGAGCCGUAGAUUCACCCUAAGGCCACUGUAACAUUUCCAUCUAUUCUAAGACUUGGAUAUGUUGUAAUAAUUUGUAGAGCGACCCUCGCUCUACCUGUAUUAUAUUAAGUACUAUUGGUAUUCUGCAUCAAGUUGAGUCUGUCAGGGGGAAAUAUUUUCUUCACUAUGGACGCACAUGGCUGAUUUCCAAUUAAAUCAUUUAUUUGGAAACCCGUCGUGACAAAGGGUUAGGUCGUGGAGUUACCUUUAACUUGUCUGAAAAUGUCUAUCCCUCAUCAUCUUCCAUCACAUCUUGAGCCAUGGGGCAUUUAUGUGCAUUACCUUCGUAGUCUUUCAUGUAGUUGUAUGUGACAACAUCACCACCUUUGUUGACCGAACUUAAUGUGGCUUGAGUGUCUUGGGCUACGCAUGCAACACCCCCAACAUCAUCGGCGUCUCAAAGCACAAUUGCUCCCUAUGGUGGUUUUUUAAAUUGAUCACAACAUAUGCAUCAUUGGACUAAUGUGUUUUCCAAGUUUAUUUCAGAAAAUUUCAAAAGGUGUUAUGGCUUAAGGUUUAUGUGUGUUAGGGCAUAUUUUUUCUCAGUAGUUUUGUUGAUUGAUGACACCAUAUCUACGGACUAAUCGUGUGCAUUGAGCAUUUCAGAUAAUACAUCACAAGGCGCAAGCUGUUUCGUCGCCCCUCGGUGUUGUUGGAGCACGGUGUUUCCUACGGUUAUCUUUGGUAGUGUUGAGUAGUAGGAAAGCCUUACUAUUAACAGGGGGUCCGUGUCGGAAAGGUUUGGGUGGAAUCAACUCUCACACGCGCUCGGUCUUUCGCAACAUUUACAAAAGGUCCAGCUGUAGUAUCGCUCAUGCUGAGCGGUAGUACCACUCGCUAGCAUAGUACCGCUCCAGAUGAGCAGUAGUACCGCUAGCUGAACGGUAGUACCACUAUAGCCGAGUGGUAGUACAGCUAGGGGACGGUAGUACCUCCCUCACUGAGCGGUUGUACUUCGUCGGACUUUUUGCGAAUACUUUUCCAGCGGUGGUAGGCUCGGUAGUAGUAUUUCUACUGUCGUGGCUUUGUGUCAACCUGGCGGUAGUACUGCUCAGUCCUGGCGGUAGUACCGCUGGGGGUUUGCAGUAGUACCGCUUCCUCGUGGCGGUAGUACCGCUGACCCCAAGCGGUAGUACCGCGAGGGGCGUGCUGACAGUGGGGGUAACGGUUGGACUUGUUCCCCCACUAUAUAAAGGGUUCAGCUACCUCACAAACCCUACCUUUGACCCUCCAAGACUCCAUUGUUGCUCCCUAAGCUCGUAUGUGCCCGAUCUCUCUCCCUAGCCAAUCAAACUUGUUGAUUUCCUAGGGAUUGGUUGAGAAGGCCAAGAUCUACACUUCCACCAAGAUAAAAUUGAUUCCCCCCACUAAUCCCUUGCGGAUCUUGUUACUCUUGGGUGUUUGAGCACCCUAGACGGCUGAGGUCUCCUCGCAGCCACAUUCCAUUGUGUUGAAACUCCAUGGUCUUGUUCGGAGCCUCCAAACUUUGUGUGGAGAUAGCCCCAAUCUUGUUUGCAAAGGUUCGGUCGCCGCCUUUAAGGGCACCUAUAGUGGAUUCAUGGCACCUUGCAUUUUGUGAGGGCGUGACGGUAAUACGGUGGCCCUAGUUGCUUAUUGGGAAGCACUGUGCCUCCACACCGCUCCAAUGGAGACGUACUUCCUGUCAAAGGGAAGGAACUUCGGUAAUACAUCCACGUCUUCAUCGGUUCCACUUGUGGUUAUCUAUUACCUUUACAUUGUGUAUGUUAUUGUUGUAGAGUAUUUCUUACUUGAUUUAGCGGUUAUAGUUGGUAGCAUCAUAUAGGUUGCUCACCUAGUUAUUAUUUUAGAGAACCUUUAUGUUGCUCACCCUAACUUGUUAAGAAAAGCAAAAAAUUGGUAGUUGCCUAUUCACCCCCCCGUCUAGUCAACCAUAUCGAUCCUUUCAAUUGGUAUGAGAGCCACGUCUCUUUAUUAAGGGUUUCACCACCCGAAGAGUAUGGAUGACGAUGAGGGGGGAUUCCUUGGACCACCCGAGGCCAUGGCCUUGACUUCGGUCACAAGGGAUGACUUGAAUGCGGCUAUGGCUAACCUCAGGACGUCCUUGACGAACGAAGUCAAGACCAUGCUUAAAGAGUUACUUGAGGGGAUUAAAAGUUCUCCCGAACCGGCGUUGGUGGUUAAACCCGCCAACACGGAUUCGGUGGCCAAUUCCUCCAAGGAAGCGGCUAAAGGUAUGUGACCUUAUUCCCCUCUCGACAAUAAUGGGACGGGAACCUAUGCCUCAGUUCCACCUCUCCUGGUCUAUGGAGGACCGGUUCCUACACCGUGUAUCAAUCAUCUUGGUCCUCCCUAAGCUUGUUAAGGGUGAUUUUACUAACUGGGUGUUUUCCAUUAAUUCUCAUUUGAAUCACAGCUGAACAAAAUUAUGGAGAAUCAUUCAGCAAGGCGACUAUCCGCAUGACCCAAGCAACCUCAUUCCAAGAGAAGAAGUGGACAAUCAAUAUAAUCACUCCGCAUUAUUCUUUCUCCAGUCCGGAGUGCCUCCUGAAGAUCUUCCUCACUUGUGCCCCUUCACUCGGGCUAAGGGCUAUUGGGAACACAUUAUGGUGAUGUACAAGGGAAGCUCAAGAAUUCAACGGUCCAACUAUUAAGUGGUUCUUGAUGAGGCCGAUGAGUUUGUGAUGAAGGAAGAUGAGGACCCUCGUGAUCUCUAUCGAAGGGUGACUGCUAUUGCUGUUGCCUUGAAGGAUCAUGGAUGCAAGGAUGUGGAUGACACAUGGAUCAAGCGCAAGUUUCUCAAGGCCAUCAUGCCAUUCAACAAAACCAUGUCAUACGUCAUUCGCCAACGGCCAGAUUUCCACUCCUUGUCCUCCAGUGAGGUGUUGGAUGAAUUCAUUGCAAUGACUAUCAUGAACAAGACCGCUGAUAAUGCUCUUGCUCGCGUUCGGUCAAAGACAACUUCACCCAACCUUGCCUUAAAAGCCAAGGCUGCUUCUGAAGAAGAAGAAGAGGAGGAGGAAGAGGAAGACUGCCCUGAAGACACUAAGUAUGCUUAUCACGAGCACAUGGCUCUUGCGUCAAGGCAAUUCUGGGGCAACAAGAGAAACUCAAGGCCCAAUUUCUCCAAGAAUAACUCAAGUGGGUUCAAGACCAAGCAGCGUGUGAGGACUUGCUAUAACUGUGGCAAUGUGAGUCACUUCGUGGCAGAGUGUCCUUAUUAGAAGAGGGAAGACAGCGAUGGCAAGCUCAUUCUCAAAGACAAAGAGAAGUCUUUCCCAAACAAGAACAACUUUGUCAAGAAACCCCAUCCAAAGGGUAUGGUGGCACUUGAAGAGUACCCCUCCUAUGAUGAUGACGAUGAUGAUAUGGUGUCAACGGCUACUGUAGCCAUUUCCACCCCCUCUCCCAAGGUGUCUCUCUUCGGUGCCCCCAACGAUAACCGCAUCACCAAGUGCCUUAUGGCCAAAGGUAUCGAUCAGGUAACACCCAGCAUUAAGACCACCAUCACUACUGCUCCUUCAUUGUUAAACUGUGUUGAUGAUAGUGAUGUUGUGGAACUUAAUGAGCAUGAUUUUGACAAAUUUCUGUGUAAAAUCACAGGAGAAUCCAAGAAGCACUUUAUUGCUCUUUUGGAACAACUGGGUGAGGCUAAUGACCUCAUCGAGUCUAAUGAGGAGACUAUCUCCGAGCUGCAAGGACAUAGUCGUGACUAUGCCGAUGGGAUUUCUGAAUUAUCUAUUGCUCUAGAAAAAGAGCGUAGUGUUCGUUUGGCUCUUGAGGAUUCACACAACGAUGAUUGUGCUAAAUUACAAAAGGAUCUAGAUCACGCUGUUGUCCUUACACGUGUGUUUAAGUCUGAAAAGGUUGCACUUGGGGUUGUCCAUGACAGACUCAAGGAGGAGUUUGAUACACUUGACAAGUCCCACAAGGUCUUGAAAGGUGCUCAUCUCUCCCUGAAAGAGUCUCAUGAUCAACUCCAAACAAAGCUUACCUAGGAGAUCUCUACCUGUCCUCCUUUUGUUAUAAUUGAUAAUGCUUGUGCAACUAACCCUUGUUGUGAGCAUGUACAUCUUGUGGAGGAAAAUGCUAAGUUGAAGGAUCAACUAGAGAAGGGCCUUGUGUCAUGCAUCCAAGGCAAUAAGAACCUAAAUGACCUUUUGAGGAAUCAAAAGGGAGUUGUAUGAAAGGAGGGACUUGGACUUACAUCCAAGUUGAAAAGAAAAAGGAAGAACAUGAACAAGCGAUCUCCCACCCUCAUGGACAUCUUUGUCAAAGAGGGCGAAGGGACUCAGAAGGAGAACAGGAACAAGGUGGAGUAUGGUAGUGUCAAGAAGGACAAAACCAUUCGUACCAACACAGCCGGCAAAUUUUAUCCAUCUUAUGUUUUAUGACGUGCUGGUGAUGGGCAUGUUUAUGCCAGAUUUCUUGAUUCUUACUAUCAGUCCAUUGAAUGGGCUAUUUGGGUUCCUAAGACCCUUGUUUCUAACAUCAAAGGACCCAUUCAUAAAUGGGUACCUAAAACCAAGCCUUGAUCUAUUGCAUGAGUUUGCUUCCGGUGGGGUGUCAUGGUUGUUCGAUAGUGGAUUAAAAAAUCAUAUGAUCGGAAGCAAGGACUUAGUGGUGGACGUGCAUCAUUCCCCAUCUAUGCCGACCCAUGUCCAAUUUGUUGAUGCUUCAACGUCCAAGGUAUUGGGAUAUGGUAAGGUGGUCAUCUCUCAAGCGUUAUCUAUUGAGCAGGUCAUGCUUGUUGAGUCCCUUGCUUACAAUUUACUUUCUGUUCGUCAACUUGCAAUUAUGGGUUUUACCACAUUCUUUAAUCUUGAUACCGUGGUCCUUUUGUGUAGCAAGACUCUUAAAGUAGCCUAUGUUGGAUAUGUCGAAAAUGGUCUCUAUGUGGUGAACUUUUCACAGCGACCCACUAAUACUGCGACUUGUGUAAUAGCUAAUGUUGAUGUGGGCUGGCUUUGGCAUCGCCGACUAGCUCAUUUCAAUAUGAGAUCUUUGCAAAGUCUCCUCAAAGGGGACCAUGUUUGUGGACUAACGAAUGUGAGUUUUACCAGAGAACGUGCUUGUAUUGAAGGGAAGAUUCACGAAACUGCUCAUCGUCCAACGACUCUCAUUUACACUAAGAGGCCUUUGGAGCUCCUUCAUAUGGAUCUCUUUGGCCCUCCAUCUUUUGAUAGUCUUGGGGGCAGAAAGUAUUGCUUGGUGAUUGUCGAUGAUUACUCAAGAUACACUUGGGUAUAUUUCUUCAAGCGGAAGAGUGAGACUCAACAAACCGUCAUCAACUUUGCUAAUGAAGCUCAACGUCAACAUGAAGCAAAGAUUUUGAUGAUUAGAAGUGAUAACGGCACCGAGUUCGAGAACUACACCUUGGAUGAGUUUCUUAGUGAUGAGGGAAUAAAGCAUCAAUAUUCAGCACCAUACACCCCUCAACAAAAUGGUGUGGCGGAGAGGAAGAACCGGACGUUGAUGGACGCGACGAGAACAAUGAUGGCGAAAUUCAAAUCUCCGUAUAACUUUUGCACCUAAUCCAUCAACACAACAUGCCAUGCAUCCAAUCGGCUCUAUAUCCGCAAAGGCGUGAACAAGACCCCAUAUGAGAUUCUCACCAGAAACAAACCCAACCUCAAGUACUUCAGGGUAUUCUGGUGUAUGCGUUUCAUUCUCAAGAAAGGUGCACGUUUAGCUAAAUUUGAUGCUAGAGCUCAAGAGGGCAUUUUUGUUGGUUAUGCCACAAACUCCCAUGCUUACCGUGUCCUCAACAAGUCCACCGGGCUCAUUGAGGAAACGUGUAACGUGGAGUUUGAUGAAAAUAAUGGCUCCCAAGUUGAGCAAAGUGGUCUUUGUGAUGUAGGUGAUGAAAUUCCUCCCCAAGCCAUAAGAAGAAUGGGGAUUGGUCAAAUAUCCCCCAUUGAGGAACCCCUUGUGGCCGAAGGAGAAGGACAAUGCUCUACUCAAGUGGAGCCAUCACCCUCGUAAGCCCCACACACUUUCGUUGAACAAAGAGUAAACCCUCAACUAGUUGAACAGGAUCAAGGGCAAGAUCAACCACUCGAAGAUGGUGAUGCAGCACAUGAUGUCCAAGUGCUUACACAAGGUUCCAAAUCUACUCAAUUUCAAGAUCAAGUGCAGCCACAAGAUCAAGAUCAAGAGCAGCCAUAAGAUCAAGAACAAACCAGUGAGCCUGCUCAAGACGAAAAUCAAGUUGCUCAGGAUGCUUCUUCUCAAUUUCCUUCUGCAGCACCUAAGAGGGGUCACGGUUGCAUGGAAGGAUCAAAACUCAAGGCCAAGCAACGUGAUCAAGUUGAUGUUCCCCAAUUAUCAAGCACAUAACUCUUGGAGUGUCACGCAGCCAAGAUUGCAUCCAAGCUGAGAGUUUAAUCACAUCUUAUGAAGAACGUGCUUGGAAGUUUAAAAAGGGGAGUAUCGAGUCGUCAACAAAUUUUAAAUUAUUGUGGGCAUCACACGUUUGUUUCGUUGUGAACCUCAACAGGUACAGCAAGCGCUCGAUGACGAGGAUUGGCUUAUGAACAUGCAAGAAGAACUCAACAACUUCGAGUGUAAGCAAGUCUGGAAAUUAGUGCCAAGACCAAAGGAGGAACAUAAUGUCAUCGGGACCAAAUGGAUCUUAAAAAACAAGCAAUAUUCCAAUGGGAUUGUGGUUCAAAACAAGGCAAGAUUGGUGGCUCAAGGCUACUCCCAAGUCGAGGGUAUCGACUACGGUGAUACCUUUGCCCCUGUUGCUCAUCUAGAAUCUAUUCGCAUGCUACUUGCAUUUGCAUCUCUACAUGAUUUCAAAUUACAACAAAUGGAUGUGAACAGUGCUUUUCUUAACGGUCCUUUAAACGAGUUAGUAUAUGUCAAGCAACCCCCGGGAUUCGAACAUCCCAAGCUCCCCAAUUAUGUAUAUAAACUUAAUAAGGCACUCUAUCGCCUUAAACAAGCCCCACAUGCGUGUUAUGAGUACCUUACCGAGUUAUUACAAGAUCGUGGUUUUGAAAUUGGGAAGAUUGUUCCCACUCUUUUUACCAAGAAGGUCAAAGGGGAUUUGUUCGUAUGCCAACUAUAUGUUGAUGAUAUUAUUUUUGGUUCCCCUAACGAAUCUUUCAAUGAAGAAUUUGCUGCACUAAUGACCGAGAAAUUUGAGAUGUCAAUGAUGGGUGAGUUGAAGUUGUUCCUCGGGUUCGAAAUUAAACAAGGUUUAGAAAGAACCUUCAUCAAACAAGCCAAGUACACCCAAGACAUGCUCAAGAGGUUCGAGAUAGAGGAUGUUAAGCCGGUCAAGUUUCCCAUGCCAACCAGAUGCAAGCUUGAUAGUGAACCCAAUGGUAAAGCAGUGGAUCAAAAGCUAUAUCGCUCCAUGAUUGGAUCCCUUCUUUACCUUUGUGCACCUAGACCAGAUAUCAUGUCGGGUGUAGGGAUUUGUGCAUGGUUUCAAUCUAUACCAAAGGAAAGCCAUUUUAUGGCUGUCAAACGAAUCUUUUGAUAUUUGGCUCAUACCCCAAACUUUGGCCUAUGGUCUCCCAAAGGAGCAAUCUUCAACCUAGUGGGCUAUUCUGACUCAGAUUGGGCGGGAGACUGUGUGCAAAGGAAGUCAACUUCUGGGGGAUGUAAAUUUUUUGGUCGUUCAAUGGAAGUUGGUCUUCAAAGAACCAUAACUGUGUCUCAUUGUUUUCCAUCAGAGUUGAGUAUGUUGCAGCUGUGAGUUGCUGUGCACAGUUGCUAUGGAUAAGGCAAACUUUAAAGGAUUACGGUGUCACUUGUGACAAAGUGCCUCUUCUAUGUGACAAUCAAAGUGCUAUCAAGAUUUCCCUCAAUCCGGUGCAACAUAGCAAGACCAAGCACAUUGAUAUUCGCCAUCACUUCAUUCAUGAGCAUAUCAAUUGUGGUGAUAUUGAGGUUCACUUCAUCAAUACUAAAGAGCAACUUGCAGAUAUUUUCGCUAAGCCCCUAGAUGAAGCAAGGUUCCGGGAGUUAAGGCAUGAGCUAAAUAUCAUAGAUUCAAGUAAUGUGGAUUGAAACUAGGCACUCUACACAUCAUUCCACAUUAUAUCACGUUCUAGGUGUAAGCAUGGACAUAGGUGGAGUGUUGUUCUCUCAAUGAACUUUCCCUCCCCCCAUUAUGCAUAAAGCGAUCAAGUCUUUCACAUUGGCCAUUAUUGAUGGCACUUGUGCUUCAAAGAUGAGCGUCGGUUAUGAACCCAAGAAUAAUUCUUCACGGUGCCAUACCUUUUGUCUCAAACAUAGGUGGCUCCAGCCACCGCCCCUCUUCCUCCUAGUAAAGGAGGGUUAUAAUAUUGCCAGUUAGUAUAUUUUGCCUCUGUCUUUUCUCCGGUACUGACUGGGAUGUGCCCGUGGUGUUUUCUCGUUCUUCUGGCAAAAAUUCUGGAACUUUCUAUAUGUUCUGGAGCGGUACUACCGCUAGGGUAAGCGGUACUACCGCCAGGGGAGCGGUACUACCGCCAGGGGGAGCGGUACUACCGCGAUGAACCGAGUGGUACUACCGCAAUGACCAGCGCGGUACUACCGCUGACUAGGGCUGGCGUUUGAAAAUCCUCAGGGGAGCAGUACUACUGCCUCAUGUGGUACUACCGCGAUGAUCCCAGUGGUACUACCGCCAAGACUCGAGCGUUACUAUCGCGAGGGCACGAAUAGUACUACCGUAGCAAGCGGUACUACCGCUUUGCCCGAGCGGUACUACCGCCCUGCCCGUGCCCUGGGUAUAUAAAGAGAGGGGGGAAGUUUUUUCCUUGCCCCAUUUGCUUCUUCUUCGUGGAGCUCUCCCUCUCUACCCCGAGUUCCCUCAAAUUUGAUCUUCCUCCGCAACGCUUCUCUUCCCAUUCCAGCUGGAGGGAUUUCCCCUCCUCCUCCUUCCUCCCCCGUGUGCCAUGGACUCCGGUACUACCCUUAUCCCUCUUGUGUUGUGUUGAUGUUCUUGGUUCUACGGUUAGGGAUAAAUGUAUUGGCUCCAUUGUUGUGGCACGAUUUUGCUUCGUUCAUGGAUCAGAGGAGAGAUGUUGGGAAGUGCCUCUAUUUGCAUUGCUGCAUAGGAUCUGCAUAGUUUUGGGCUUAGAUCCAUAGUUUUGGUGUCUUAUGUUUUCAAAUAUGAAGCUUUGUGGUUAGAUACGUUCUUGUUCCUCCAAAUCUGUAACCACGCAGUACUACCGCCCUACACCUAGUGGUACUAGCGCUAGCUCAUAGUACUACCGCCCUGACCAAGCGAUACUACCUUUAGCUCGUGGAGCGGUACUACCGCCCUGGCCGAGCGGUACUACCGCUCGUCGAGCGGUACUACUGCUAGCACUCAAUAUAUUGCCUAUGCUUGCUACUACUUAGAUUCUUUUGUGUUUUCUCCUUGUUCUGGAUGUUGCCAUGACUUCUCUUCUCAUUUUCGCAUGUUUUUGGUGCGUGUCUCGUGUGGUAGCUCUCGUCGUUCAAACCCAGUUCGCAACACCGAGUCCAAGAGGUACCGCAAACCUGAAGAACCAGAAGGUUCCCGUCCUUCGGAGCGCAGCGUCAAGAAGACUGUAUCCAAGGACAACGCAUCCACCAUUGACUAUGAAACUAUGGCUCCCAAGGAGUUUGCCAGGCACCGAAAGCAAAGCCCUUAUGUCAGUGAGAGGUAUGAUUUCAGGGGCGGAUAGAUGUACUGGACCAAGCAGCAGCUCAUGAUCUAUCUGUUGGAAAUAUAUCCUAGAGGCAAUAAUAAAUUAGUUAUUAUUAUAUUUCCUUGUUCAUAAUAAUCGUUUAUUAUCCAUGCUAUAAUUGUAUUGAUUGGAAACUCAAAUACAUGUGUGGAUACAUAGACAACACACUGUCCCUAGCGAGCCUCUAGUUGACUAGUUCGUUGAUCAAAGAUGGUCAAGGUUUCCUGACCAUAGGCAAGUGUUGUCACUUGAUAACAGGACCACAUCAUUAGGAGAAUCAUGUGAUGGACAAGACCCAAACUAUGAACGUAGCAUAUUGAUCGUGUCGUUUUAUUGCUAUUGUUUUCUGCGUGUCAAGUAUUUGUUCCUAUGACCAUGAGAUCAUAUAACUCACUCGCACCGGAGGAAUACCUUGUGUGCAUCAAACGUCACAACGUAACUGGGUGACUAUAAAGGUGUUCUACAGGUAUCUCCAAAGGUGUCUGUUGAGUUAGUAUGGAUCAAGACUGGGAUUUGUCACUCCGUGUGACGGAGAGGUAUCUCGGGGCCCACUCGAUAAUACAACAUCACACACAAGCCUUGCAAGCAAUGUGACUAAGUUUAAGUCACGGGAUCUUCUAUUACGGAACGAGUAAAGAGACUUUACGGUAACGAGAUUGAAAUAGGUAUGCUUAUACCGACGAUCAAAUCUCGGGCAAGUAACAUACCGAAGGACAAAGGGAAUGACAUACGGGAUUAUAUGAAUCCUUGACACUGAGGUUCAACCGAUAAGAUCUUUGGAGAAUAUGUAGGAUCCAAUAUGGGCAUCUAGGUCCCGCUAUUGGAUAUUGACCGAGGAGUGUCUCGGGUCAUGUCUACAUAGUUCUCGAACCCGCAGGAUCUACACACUUAAGGUUCGGUGAUGUUUCGGUAUAGUUCAGUUAUAGGUGUUGGUAACCAAAAGUUGUUCGGAGUCCCAUAUGAGAUCCAGGACGUCACGAGGAGCUCUGGAAUGGACCGGAGGUAAAGAUUGAUAUAUAGGAAGUCCUGUUUUGGUCACCGGAAAAGUUUUGGGCUCAUCGGUAGUGUAUCGGGAGUGCUGGGAGGGGUACCAAGGCGUCUCAUGGGCUAUGGUAAGAGAUAAACCAGACCCUAGUGGGCGGGAAUAAGUUCCCACUAAGGCCCAUAAGGUUUGAGAACGAAAAAAAUAAGGUGGAAAGAGUUUCCAAGUGGGAAGGUGGAAUCCUACUCCAAGUAGGAUCGGAGUAGGACUCCUCCACCUCCAAUUUCGGCCAAACCUUGAGGGUUUGAGGCUGCCUCCUCCCCUCCCUCCCUACUAUAUAUACUAGAGGUAUUGAGGGUUUUUGAGACACAACUUUGCCACGUGCUGCUCGACCCUAUACCACGCAGUUUUUCCUCUAGAUCGUAUUUCUGCGGAGCAUAGGCGAAGCCCUGCCGGAGUAGAUCAUCACCACCACCGUUGCGCCGUCACGUUGCCGGAGAACUCUUCUACCUCUCCUCCCCCUCUUGCUGGAUCAAGAAGGUGGAUAUUGUCAUCAAGCUGUACGUGUGCUGAACCCGGAGGUGUCGUCCGUUUGGCACUAGAUUGGAACGGAUCAUGAGACGGUUCGCAAGACGGUUCGUGCAACGGAUCGCGAGACGGUUCGUGGGACAGAUCGUGGGAUGGUUCAUGGGACGGUUUUUGGGGCGCUUCGAGGGACGUGAAGACGUUCCACUACAUCAACCGCGUUUCUUGAAGCUUCCUGUUGUGCGAUCUACAAGGGUACGUAGAUCCAAAUCUCCUCUCAUAGAUGGACAUCACCAUGAUAGGUCUUCGUGCGCAUAGGAAAUUUUUUGUUUCCCAUGCGACGUUCCCCAACACUAUCAAGAUGUCGUCCUGACUAAGAAGAAGAAAUUUGUUCCACUGCAGUGGAUUGAUCUCAAUCAUGUCCGGAAGGAUACUGGUUAUUUUGGCGAGGCCCUGCGUAUGAUUGAGCAGCUAGGUAUUGAGGAUAUCAUCACCUUUCACUGUAACUUUGAUGAAGAGGUAGUGGCUCAAUUCUAUACCUCUGUCUUCUUCAACAAUGAUGAGAAUUUCUCUUUGACUUGGAUGACUCACGGAGAUAAGUUGUCUCGCUCUUGGGCUGAGUUCAUGAAGCUUUUGAGGAUCAAUUUCACUGGGCUGUAUAAUUCUCUUGGCCUGCACCCUCAUCUCAACCCUGAUAACACCCCCAAGGACAAGCUGAUGCAUUUCUAUGUCACGAAGGGUGUGCUCAUUCCCUUCUUGGAUAUCAUGCAUCGGGUCUUCCGCAACACUCUGUUCCCUCAGGUUGGUAACAAAGACGAAGUUCACUCCUAUCUGGUGGACAUGCUCCUGAUGUGUCAGGAAGGACUGGAGAAGCCCAAUGGGCCACUCGAUCUGGCAAAUGUGAUGUUUUGCUAGCUUCAGAUGGUCAUCUACAACCGUAGGGUCCCCAUUUGUGGGCCUUACUUGUACUACUAUGUCAAGACUAAAUGGGCUCAGACCUUCCCUGACAGGGCCUUUCCUGCACCCACAGAGCUCGUCAGCCAUGAUCCCAUCAAACUGCAGCAGAAAGAGAAGUGGGCCAACACCUCCACUUCACGCUCUACUGCUCACAUGGAGGCCGAGGAGGAGAUUGAUGCUGCUCGGGCUGAGGGUGGCCCUUCUUCACAGACCCGUUCUUCUGCUGAGCCAUCUUGGGCCAAGAAGCGAAAGGCACAGAUGGGGCCCUACAGGACCAGAUGAGGACCUUGUUUUGCAUGCAGGCAAAAGGACAGUAUCAAGCUCAUGUGGCUCAGAAGGAGAACCGUCGGCAGAAUAAGCACCUGCUGAGGACGCUUGAUGUGCACGUCUCUAGUGGUUCUGAGGAUGUCAUUACUCCAGAGGCUUCCUGGAUGCAGGCUAGCGACUACCAGUGGGAUGGGAUCGAUCAGGAGGUGUGUGACGAAGAAGAUGCAGCAGGGUUUGUUCACGAGGAACAGCAGGAUGAUGAUGAGGACGAUGAGGACGCUACAGAUGUGUCUGCUGAGGAUGAGGAUGAAUGAGCCCCCACCUGUGUUCACGUUCUCUCUGCCUUUUUGGUGUACUGAUGCCAAAGGGGGAGAGAGAGUUAGAGAUUUGCGUUUGGUGUUUCGUUUGUGUUUGAGUCUUUUUUUUCUGAACUUGGUUGGUUUAAGUCUGUUGGAUAUCUUAUUAUGUGUGUGAAGACUCUUUGUCAUAUGGUGUGAGACAUAUGCUAUCCUUAUAUUAUCUCUUAAGCCUCUCGAUAUACUUAGCAUGUGAGAUCAUUUAUCUUGUGCCUUUAUGUAAUGACUAAGAUGUGGCCCUUUCCUUAUUUGGGGGCGAUGCCUCAAAAGGGGAAAGGGGCACAUCUACGCGUUUCGCAAACGGGAUAAUCAUCACAAUAUAUAAUUCAAGAUUAACAAGUAGGGCAUACACUUGCCAUCUGUUAAGAAUAUAUCAUAUAGCUUACUAACAAACAUUAUUCAGAGUAGUAGCAAGUACAGCUACGGACUUAAACUGAAAAACACAUGAUCUAACACAUCUCGUAUGCUAGCCCACGAUCACGAUCACAACCUCAGUCUUCCGGAUAGUUUACAUACAGACGGCCAGAGUCCUCAUUGAACUCACACUUCAGCUGGUUGUCAUGAGGAUCUCCCGCGUCGGGCGUACCUGUACCUGUUGGGGUUUGUAGUAAUCUGUGAGCCACGGGGACUCAGCAAUCUAAUGAACUCGAUACUGAAUCUAGUCAAGUUAUUAGGUGAGUAAGGUUUAGUGUAUGGGUUUGCAGCAACCUAAGCAUAUAUGGUGGCUAACUUAUGAUGAUCAGAGUAAUUAAAUGGUGGUCUACGCGAGCGAUCGAGGACUAGAUGAUCACUAAGUGAUCCUGAACACGUACUUACGUCAAACAUAACCCCACCGUGUUCCCGAUCGAAGAGUGUUCUUCGAAGGAGACAGUCACGGUUACGCACACAUUUGGCAUUUUUAUGAGGGUUACUUUAAGUUGUCUAGAACCGGAUGUUAACAAAAUAUCCAUGUUUUCCACAUAACCAUGGGCACGACUUUCCGAAAGAUUAACACUGCAGGGGUGCUCCAACUAGUCAAUCACAAACGGCCACAUGUCGCAAAGUAAUCCUCUAUCACGAAACUCGUGAUCUCGUCGGAUUCCUUAGAGGAAAACCUCAACUUUGAGGAGACCCAAAGUUUCACCGGGAUUCCUAUACACAAGAUAUAUCACUAAGGUGAGACAAAUCUGGCAUGACCGCCCGACGUGUCGACGAACCCGAUAGGAGUCGCGUAUCUCGUUCUCAGGACACGGUCGGAUGAGUGUAGCGUAAAGUGCCCUGGUAGAAAUCUCCCGAGUUGCCACGGGUUGGCCCCGCACACGACUCUAGUUUGGACAAACACUCAUGAGGAGCACUGGCCCGGGUUGUUGAUUAAAUCCUCGGGGUAGCUAUUCCCUAUGAAAAUUAUUAUUAGGUGAUUAGCAGAUUAAAACCAAUGUUGGGUCCUGCCAGACAAGCCGUAACACUACACGAUUUAUCAAGGGGGUCCCCAUAACAACCCCGAACGUGUUAGAAGUGAUCAGUUAUGGAAUCAAACACCGGUAGCCGAAACAAAGACGGCAACAACGGAACAAAUCACCCGACAAAGGGCUAGGCCUUCCGUCAUUUACCAUGUAUAUAGGUGCAUUAAAUAAAUAGCAGGUUAACAUAAUGAUAUCAAAAUACUCAUGUUAUCACAUGAGAUAAAUGGCACCUGCAAAUAGCAAUGCUACUCGUUAGAGGUUUAGCAAGCCUACUUAGCCAAACAACAUUUGCUAGGAGAGGGAGGUGUUUGGGGUUCAUGACAAGACAGGUGGCAUUUGUAUCAAGUGGUAGGCAGCGAGCAUGUAUCGAAGGAAACGUGAUUCUAAGCAUAACACACUACUGGAAUCUGCUGGUUUGCCUACAGCCAGAGCUGACGGCAACGACUUGUUUAACGGACGGCAAAGGCUUUGCCGUCAGCGUGCGGUCGGUAAAGGAGCCGGCCACGAUUUUAUUAGCAAUCACCUUCUUUGCUGUCAGCUGCAAAUCGAUCGACGACAAAGCCUUGGCCAUCAGCUUUGUUGCACGGGCUGACGGCACGGAGCAAUGGCGGCUACGGCGCAAGUCGAGCCCCGUUAGAGGGUUAACGGCAGGCUUUGCCGUCAGGUGGACGCUCGCCGACGGCAAAGUUCUGGUGGGCCAUACAUUUUAUGGAUGCUAGCAACACUGACAUGUGGGUCCCCUCUUUGCCCACAGCCGGAGCACAGCUGACGGCAAAGCCGAAAACCUGGGUCCCCUGGGUCCCCUCUUUCCCCAAAGCCGAAGCACCGCUGACGGCAAAGCCGAAAANNNNNNNNNNNNNNNNNNNNNNNNNNNNNNNNNNNNNNNNNNNNNNNNNNNNNNNNNNNNNNNNNNNNNNNNNNNNNNNNNNNNNNNNNNNNNNNNNNNNNNNNNNNNNNNNNNNNNNNNNNNNNNNNNNNNNNNNNNNNNNNNNNNNNNNNNNNNNNNNNNNNNNNNNNNNNNNNNNNNNNNNNNNNNNNNNNNNNNNNNNNNNNNNNNNNNNNNNNNNNNNNNNNNNNNNNNNNNNNNNNNNNNNNNNNNNNNNNNNNNNNNNNNNNNNNNNNNNNNNNNNNNNNNNNNNNNNNNNNNNNNNNNNNNNNNNNNNNNNNNNNNNNNNNNNNNNNNNNNNNNNNNNNNNNNNNNNNNNNUGACGGCAAAGCCGAAAAUCUAGGAAAAUUUGGUGUACUCACAGUUGCCAGGUUACACAGGCUGUCGCCACGUGUCCUUCUUUGCCGUCAGCCCACCAACGACAUAGGCUUUGCCGUCAGUAAGCUAUAGGCAAAGACCCUCUCUGCUUUUUCAUAUUUGUUUUCUAUUAAUUCCCUGCAUUUGCAAAACAUAGAUACAAACAGCAAUAUAUAUAUAUAUAUANNNNNNNNNNNCACCACAAGUGCAUCACAAAGUGCAAACAGCACCACAAGUGCAUCACAAAGUGCAAACAACACCAAUAUAUGUAAUUAAAGUGCAAACAAGAUCACAAAGUAUUACAAAGCAUCACAAGUGCAUCCGCAAAUACAAGUGCAUUACAAAGUUCAGCUAAGACUACAUGAGUACAGUCCCUGGAGCAUCCAUCCAUAUGCCAUGCUGCUUUAUCAAAAUCUGCAUAAUGAGAAAGAAGUUAGAAGAAUAUUACAAUAAGAAAGAAGUUAUCUAAAUUAAGCUACGCAAUCAGAAGAAGAAGUGGAAGAAGAAGAAGAAGAAGAAGAACAAGAAGAAGAACAAGAAGAAGAAGAAGAUGGAGAAAAAGAAAGAAGAGAAAAAGG